rnacentral:lncRNA from 1 species
UCUAUUAUAUAUACAUCCAUCUGCAUGGCAUUUAGAACAAAAAAAAAAAAUCAAAUUCUUCUUCUACAAUCCCAAACCUUUUUACUGAGAGAACCACAAAGAAAUGCACAAGAAGUCUAGUUUUCCAGUGCUGAAAUCCUGACUUAGAUUAUUGAAUCCUGGUGAGGCAGACGUCCGUAGAAAUACAAGCACUGAGUAUGGACGAAAUUUCUGUUUCAAGGACAGUGCGGUACGGAAGCCUCAAUCUUCAGUUUAUCUGUUUGAAUAUUAUUUCGUUUUGUUCAUAUUCUGUUAAAUUAUAAAUUUGCAUUUAUUAUUUAUUAGCAUAUAAAUUUAUCAUUGAUUGUUGAUAUUUAUCUAACAUAUACGUGAAUCAUGAGUAGCACCCUCCCAUCCAGCCCCAGACAAAUGUAAAACACAUAUUGAAAUCACAUACAGUCAUAACAUUUUGAGUUGUGUUUUCUUUUCUACCAAUAUAUGGUACUUGCAUUUCUCUAGGCACCACAACUGGGACAUGUUCCAUCAAUUGCCCCUAUGCAACCUUUAAAAUAUGGCCAAUAUCGAUUGUCAUCCUUAAUUUUAUUUGAAACUCUCUUGAAUUGCCGAUCAUGUGGGCAUAUAAUAUCGAUAGCCAUGCGAGAAACAACAUCUAAUAGUUUCCCAAACCACCUAAAGACAAUCUCACCAGAGCGUUGAAACCUCUCUUGGACCAUCCUAAUAGUGUUCCCAUGACCUAAUGUGUUAAUAAUUUCUCACCUUCACUUUUUUCUCCCACUACUCAUCACUUGCAAUGAUAGUUUGCUUCACAGGAUCCCAUUCUAAGCCAGUCUCUUUACCAACUAAUGAUGUCCACAAUUGCCAUUCUUUCUUAAGUGCAGUCCAUUUGUUCUUGAUUUGUUUACGAUCAUACAACCUUUGAGUAAGGUCAUUAAAUUUCUUAAUAACAUUUUUCCAUCCAAUCCUAUUACGAUGACCACCUGUUUGAUUUCCGGCUAAUGUCUCAAUUACACAAAUGCUUAUAAAUGUCUCAACAUUUGCAUCAUCCCACAUUGCCUUACCCUUUUUUUUAUUACUUUCCUCACGUGCAUCUUGUGCAUCUCUAACUAUAUUUUUAGACAUAUUUAUAAAGAGAAAGAAAAACAAACUAUAGCACAAAAUAAGAGCAUACACCACUGCUUAUGUCCUAACUAACAACACGAAUAAUUUAAAUAUUUCAAUUGUAUGGAAGCAUCUGGUUUACUAUCAGUAGUAUGAAAAGCAAUUAUUGCAGUGAUAAUAGGUUGUUCAAUUGUUACGUAACUUGGGAAGCAAUUAUUUCAUUAUUUUGUGAUUAUAAGAAAGUUUCCAAUGGUAAUAAUUUUUGGUAGUUGUUUCAUCAUUAAACAUCUCAUAGAGAAACGGUAUCAUGAACAAACGGCAGCAAGGUUAUUGAUCUUCAAAGUUUUUUUUUAUUUUUUUUAUUUUAUCGAAUUUGCUAUGCAAAGUUUACUAAUCUAAAAAGUAUUCUGAAUACCAAAAGCAAAAGCGCUAUAAAUCGUAUUGAUAGAAAACAUUAAAAAUAAUUCUAAUAACAAUAGUUAAAAACAACAAUCAUACAGGAAACAAAUAAUUCAGAAAUACCUUUGGAGAGUUAAUGAACGAUCACCAAACAAAAAUUUAUAUUUAUUAACAAAUAAGAAGAGUAAGUCUGUAAAGAGAGAAGCAACAUGAUUUUAUAAGAGGAUUGUGAUUCUGUACCAGGGGUUUAAUGUCAUAAAUGAUAAAUCAAAAUUUGUUAAAUAUUUCCAGGCUUAAGGUCGUGAUAUACCUUUGGAAGGUUAAUGAACGAUCACCAAACAAAAUUAUUUGCGUGUGGCUACAUACAAAUUUAAGAUAAGAAAUAGCAUACAUACCUCCACAAAAUGUUCAGGCGAUGGAGAUGCAUGUAGAGAGGUUUGGGGAAGAUGAAGAUGAAGAGAUGGAGACCAAGUAGAAUGCUCAGCCUCCAAAAUAAUAUGAAAAUAAAAACCUUAUGGGUUAUCGACGUGCAACCCUAGAAAAAAUAGAUGAUGGUAAUUUUGAUAUUUUUUUUUUUGAAGUGUAAUGGCAUUUUAGACUUUCAAAUUAAAAAAUAGGGAUAAUUUUGAAAUUGAAAAAAUUUCAUUAAAGAGAGCAAAGUGCUUCCCUUGUUUUCUCUGCGCAUCACUUUUAAGAGGAAGCACCUCCUAGGUGCUUCUUUAGAAAAUGCUUCUUAUUACUUCUACUUCUACUUCUAACUAAAAACACUUUUAAAAUAUUUGCCAAACAACAAGUUUUUUAAACUGAAACGUUUUUACUCAUUAGGAAGUGGUUUUGGCUCUUUUAGAAGCACAACCAAACGAGCUAUAUGUUGGUCUAGUUGUAGGUACAGUCUAGUUUGGUUCGAUUUCUCAUUUAAAUAGCAGUCAAUGCGAUUUUGUGAUGCAUUGUGCUUGGCUAUGGCAGUGUUUCUCUACUUUGAUGGUUAUUUUUACCUCAUUGUUGACAACAAUGACGGCUCUUCAUGGGAGUAAUUUGGUUCUUGGCCUCAUGGCUAGGGUUUAGGUUUUUUGUUCGACUUUUGUGAGUUUGACGAAGUUGUAUCAACUCUUUAUUUGAAAGUGGGAGUUUGUUGUAUCUCCUUAGAUGGAGGAAGACUUUAUUUUCAAGAUGUUGUAGCAAGAGAUUUAUGUUAAAUUAGUUGAAAAUGCACUACAAAUAUUAGAUGAGUUGUUUAUAAAUCACUUGUUUAUGUUUUUGUAAUGGUUAUGUAGCCCUUUUCAAAUUUUACGUAAUAUUUUUGUAGUUGAUUUCUAAUUAAUUAAGUUUUUAUCCUAGCUAUCUCUUAAUACUUACAAAUUUCUCAUCCAAACAUAACCUAAAAGUUUUUUUUUCCCAACUUCUUGUGCCAUGACAAUAAUAUAUUAAAAAAGAAUGUCGUAAAAACAUUGAUGUCAUUUUACUUUAUUAGUAAGGGAGUGCUAGCAACCGUUGCACUAAUAUUUGCAUUUGGACCUUUUCAUUUUAUCAAAAUGUCAUGUGUCAUUUUGUACACACACAAAAAAAAUAAAUAAAUAAAAACAUUUUAAUGACUUUAGCUAGGGAUUAAAGAUGAAAAGCAUAAAAUAUAAUUUUAAGGCAUUAAAUGUCUUGUAUUUUGCGUUAAAAAAUGACACGUGGCGUUUGAUAAAGUGAACAUGUGCAAAUGAAAAUGUUAGUACAAAGGUUGCUAACUUUAUUAUUUCUUUAAACCUUCUUAUCUUACAAAAUCAGAAACACUUUGUAUUGUAGGGUCCAACUCCCAUACUACGUAGUAUGGACUGUAAGUUCUGAAGAUAGGUAUACACUUGGUUAGCACUUGUUAUUAUACACAUGGGAAUAUUAGAGAUUAACAUUGAUAAUGUUUGUGUGCUAAUAAGGAACAUGUUUAUUAGGAUUCAUUAGCUUGAACACUCAUUAUAGUACUAAAAGUCUUUCUAGCUUACAUGAAUAAGAGGUUAAGAUCAAUCAAUAAUACUCAAUGGAAAGCAUCUUAGUUGAUUACCACUGUGUAUGGUUAGGGUCCCUGCACUCUUUUUAAUCACGCAAGCUUACAAAAAAUGGAACCCCAUUCUUGAGGCCUUGCAUACUGAAGAGGAGAGCUGCACAAGAACUCUAAUCCCAACAAGCAUGUCAUCAUCUUCAGGUGAGUGGUUAAUUUGGUACUGUGUUAUAAUAUUCAGAAUUCAUAUUCAUAUAUAUUAUAUGUUUUACAUGGACUACUACGAGUAUUAAAUGAUUUGGAUGCAAAGAACCACAUCAUCCAAAUCAAUUCAUCUUAUCCAGUGCUCGUAGUAUUUUAUACCAUGCAGUAUGGAAGAAUUUUCCAGUAUGGUAUGUCAUAUCCAAAAUCAAUGAAAUAUGAUGAAUUGCAUUAUCCUGUUGGAUCACUUGGUGUUACAUCCUGGUGCAUUUUGGAUACGAGCUAUAGAUACUAGUUGGACCAGAAAAGGAUUUGAAUUGGGUCUUGAACUAGGAUCAUCGAGGCUUCUUCAAUCAAACCAUCCCUGAAAAUGAGCUCACAUUGUCACACAUCGAAAGUUGAAGGUCAAUUGGUUCCAAAGUUGAAGUUGAUUAGACCAAUGACGUCCCACCCCAUGCAUGUGGCCACGCCACGUUGUGGUGAUUAGUGGUACCAUCACAUGAUAGUGAGUUGUUAUUUGUGAUCACCACUCCAUGUUCAAGAAUCAAAAGGGUUUUCCAUGUAGAUAAUGUUUUUCCAUAUGCGCUAAUAAUCUAUUGCACAAAUACAAAACUCUCCAUUAUCUCUUUAGCAAAUGCACUUUUUAUGAUUUAUGCGCGUUUUUUUUUUCUCGUUUCUUACUUAUCUUUUGUUAUUUUUAUUCAAAUCGAAUGAAUUUAAAAAUUAAUAAACAUGAGUCUGACCAAAAUUUUAUUUAUUAAUUCAUCAUACAAGGGGAUGAAGCUUAACUUUUGUAUGAAGUGAGUAUAUGAUAAGUUAUUGACUUGAUCAAAAUGAAGUAUGAGAUAUCAUCACUACUAAAUUAAACAGUUUGCGCGACUAUGGACAUUUUGUCGCGCAAAAAAUUAUUUGGUCGCACAUAAACUAUGGCGACCAGAAAAUCAUCGCGCAUAUUUUGUCGCGCAAAGCUCAUGAAAAAAGACAUUGCGCGACGAACAUCUUCAAAUUUGUCGCGUGUCUUAACAAUUGCGCGGCGCAUUACUAGUCGUCGCGCGAAAGUUAUACGGACAAAGGUUUUCGUCGUACGAUUUAAACGAGUACAAGUGCGUUUGUGGGUAAUUUGUCUCAAAACUUUUUGCGCGACGAAAUCUAUAGUAGGCGCGUGGUAAUGCACAAUGAAGAGUAAGACGCGCGUAAUUUUGCGCGACGACAUUUCGUCGUCGCACACGUGUAAUUUUUAAUAAAAAAAUAGAAUAAAAGGAAAAAAAAAACAGAUUUCAUACUAAUGACAUGAGAAAGAAAAAAAAAAGCAAAUUAAUGAAUAAUUUUUUUAUUAUUUAUAAUAUAAAUAAAAAUGUACGUACAAAUAUAAAGUAAAAAAAACGGAACAAAACUACAAAAAUAAAGAGGCAAAAUCUAUAGGCAUGUCAUUCAGAGGUGCUUGGUAAUCUUGCUGCUGGUUGGGGACAGGGUCGGAGGUCAACGGGCCUGAUUGUUGUGCUUGCUCGGUGUGGAAGGGCUGUGAGGGCGAUGGUGUAGAAAAACCGGGGAGAUGUAUUCCAGAGGAACUGAGGGCUUGUACAAGCAUUGACAUUUGAGACUUGAACGAUGCUAGCUCACUCCUUAGCCCAGCGACUUCCUGCGUCAAAGUCGUAACCUUGGUCUUUAACUACGAGGAUGAUGAGGCUCCAGUUUCCCGACGCCUGGCAUUUCUCAUCCCCCGACAAUAUGUCCCUGGCCUUUGACCGAAAGUUUGGUCCAACGUCUCUGUGACGAUGUGAAACCCUGCAUUCUCAGGGGGAUCCAUAGACUCGAUCGACGUGUCCGAGGGAAGGUGGGAGGCAAACUCCUGAAGCACCACUUGUCGCUUCUCCACCAUAGUUGCCUGUGAAAAAAACACAUGGAUUAUUAAUAGAAAACAAUUUGAAAGAAUUAGUAUAAAUGUUUAAUGCAUAAGAAAUUACUUAUAUGAAGAGACUGGGUUAACUCAUUCCUAGGCCGAACAUAAACGUCAGCAAAGACAUCAAUCUUCGGAAAUUUUGAACCCUCCUAAAAUCGAAAAAGAUAAGGAAAAUGUUAGUACGAAAAAAAAAAUUAUUAGCGACAUUUUAAAAUUGGAAAUGAAAGUUGUAAUAUAUAUCUUCCGUCACACCUCCAUCCUAUAGGAGAAAGGCCUCGAACCCGAAUGAUGGAGAAGAGUCUUUUUCUCUCGAUUGAUCCUGUUCGCCUUCGCCUUCUUCUGUUAUACAAAAAAUAAACGUAUUAGUUGUAAUAGUUAAAGAAAAUUUAAAAAAAUUAAUAAUAAACAUUGUUAAAAAAUAAAAAAAGUAAAAUGAAAGAAGUCAUCAUUAAAAACGCACCACAUAUGUCGGGUCCUUAAAAUAACCGCAAAGCCAAACCCAACUAUCUUGUCGGUCCUCCAACUUCUUCGGACAUCCCUCCUCAAGAGCGACCUACGGAUCAUCAAACUCCUAAAACCAUUGGUGCAAGUCACUCUUCCACUGCUUGUAGCGUUCGGAGAAGAGCCGAUUGACAUAUGCGAACUUGUCCUCGUCCAUGUGCUCCAAAUUGUAGUUUGUCUGCAAUAUAACAAAUAUUUUGAAAGCAUUAGUAAUAAAAGACAUUAAUACAUAUAAAUAUAUAAAUUUUACAUGAAAAGCAUUAAAAAGGCGAUGCUACUUACGGACAAUUGAUUGCGCACCAUAAUCUUCGUCUCCUCCAUCAUCGCCUUCCAAGACUUCCACAGCAUAGGGCAAAAGGUCCGCACAACAUGCCCAAUGUCAUGGGCCAAUGCACUAUGUUAGUUCGCCGUUAGUGCUGCCCGAUGUCGCUUAACGUAUCCGAUUAGGAUACGACCGUUGGUCACCCGGGUGACCUUCCCCGUCUUCAAUUGCUGACAAGGUCCCCGGGUGUGUUUCUUCGCUGCAAAUAGAUGAAAAAAAAAAUCAUUAACCCAUAACUAAUAACAAAUCCUACUUAAAUUUCGGCAUAACCUCCCCUAUAAUUAAAACAUUUCCCAAAACCUUGAAAAUAACAUAAACAAUAUACAUAUCCAACAUAAUAAUCACAACAGUUUAAUAAAAGGUUCGGAAUGAUGAAAAAAUUUUAAUCCUUACAUGACAUAACAAAUUGAACCUAAAAUAAAAAAACUUAGUAAACAAGGGAAUGAGGGAGUGAAUUAGGAUUGUAUACCUGACCAUGUACCGAAGGCAUCGGUUAGGGAUCCCGAUGGCGACAUCUGUUCCACAGUGCGGGGGCGUCGAUGAGUUCGUCUGGCGUUAAUAGGUAACGCCACCGAAGAAGUUGACGAUGUCUAUGCCUGUGGAACUGGAGGACCAUCUGAGUGAACCGGAUUGACCGGCCUAUGGUCCAUCUCUGUCGGAGCAGUGGCAGCAGUAGUAGGUAUAGUCGUCAGACUAGGUGUAGAAGUCAUCGGCCUCCGAGUUCUAAUGAGGUGAGACAUCUACAAAAUUGGCAAUCAAUUUGUUUAGUACACAAAGAUUUUGAUUAUGUUUUCACAUGCUUACAACUUCAAUGGCUACAAAAGGAUUGCUAAUUGUUGAUUUGAUUUCAAAUUAACUUGUUAACUUAAAUAAACAUAUGGGAAUUCCAGUCCAUUGGCUGGUCAAAAGCAUUUUCUGAAUGCAUAUGGGCAGAUUCAAUGACUUUGGAGAUGUAGAAAUAUGAAAAUAAUUGAAACAUUCCCAUCAUAACAAAGUUCAUGUGCUCUGCGAUUUGCAGCAAAAGAAGUUUGCUAAUACCUCUCAUGAAAAUCUAAUAUAUAUAUAUAUAUAUAUAUAUCGUAGCAAAAGAAGUUUGUUAAUACCUCUCAUGAAAAUCUAAUAUAUAUAUAUAUAUAUAUAUAUAUAUAUAUAUAUAAUCUAAACUAUAAUGGAGGAAUUCAAAUUAUUGUGCAAAAAAGAAAGAUUAAUAUCAAAAUGUAAAUGUAACUUCAAAAUUGGGAUGCCGAAUUCAACAAGCAACACAAUCGAGUCUAUCAUAUUAAUAAGGCAACAACAAAGGGUAAUACCCCAUUAUAUAUCAACAAAUCGUGGCAAUCAACAAUGCAAAUCCUUAAUUUAAGAACCCUGUACUUAAAUUAGAAAACCCCUAAUUCGAACCCUGUAUUUGAAAUUAAAAAACCCCUAAUUUAAGAACCUUAAUCUAACCCCCAGUGAAGCACCCUAAAUCUAACCCCCAAUUUAAGAAAACCUAAUCUAACCUCAUUGCCCAAAAUCGUUCCCCUAAGAUAAGACCUAAAUCCAACCCCAAUUAAGAACCCUAAAAACUCUAAUUUAAGAACCUAAAUGUAACCUCCAAUUUACGAACCCUAAAUCUAACCCCACCGCCCCUAAUUUGAAAAAAAUAAAAACCCUAAUUCUAACCCCCAGUCAAUAAACAAAAUUGAAACUAAAAACUGAAAAGGAAAUUACCUAUUGGAGAAAAAGAGGCGAUGGACCGAGAGAGGGAUGGAGAGACGAGGUGAGUGAAGGAGAGACAAACGAAGAUAGAUAGGAAGGAAAGAUAGGGUAUCGCGCGGGGAAAAAAGGAAGAAGAGGGAAGUAAGGGAGGAACGAGACGCACGGGGGUUAAUAAUAUAGAAUAUUACGUGACGGAGUGUUCGUCUCGCAAGGCUAAACAAUCGUCGCGCAAGUUUUUUAAAAUUUCCGCAAAAAAAACGCUUUAUUUGAAUUUUCAGACAAUUGUGCGACGAAUCAAUAUAUUUCGUAGUGCAAGUUUUUAAAAUUUCCGCGAAAAAGCACUUUAAUUGAAUUUUUAGACACGUGGGUGACGAAUACAUAUAUUUCAUCGCGCAAAGUAUAUUUGUGCGACCAAAAAAAUUUUACGCGUCACGCAAUUGUGUUUUAAAUUGGUUUUUUUUUUAUUAUUUUGUUUACAAUUUAUUAUAAAAUACAAACAAAACAACUUUAAAUACAAAGUAAUUCACAUAUAAAAUGGGAAUCAUUCAUACCAUUUUUUUCAUCACUCUAUAUAAUGCAUUAAACAUUUCAUGUGUUUUACAAAAAAAUUACAAAUAAAUUGCCUUAAUCUUAAUCCGAACUAUAAUAACUUUCACUUUCGUCGCUAUCAUCAUUUUGAGUGUCACAUUCCUUAUCAUCGAUAGGUACGUCACCAUCGUUGUUCGUGCGCACUGGACCAUCGUAUCGUGGAAUAUUACCAAGGUCAAUCGUGAUGAACUGAAUCAGUAUUUCGAUUGAAGAUACUCCAUCUAUCUGAAAUGGUUCUUGGAUAAAAUUAGUAUCUCGGAGUGUUUCCGCAUCACUUUCCAUGAAAGAUUCAAGACGUUGGUCAGCAACAUUGUUGAUGUCGUCGUCAGUACGGUCUUGUUCUGGUAUAGCAUACACAUUCCUAUGAUCCAUCUUCUGAACAACUUUCCAACCCUGGAUUUAGGGUCAUCUAGAUACACAAUUUGUUUUGCCAUGGUUGCUAAUAUGUAAGAGUCGUCAUUGUACCAAGUUUUGGUAGUGUUCAUUGAUAGUAAUCCAUGAUUUGUUUUCACACUUCCAUGCCUAUUCGGGUGUGUAUCAAACCAUCGACACUUAAAUAAGAUCACCUGGCACCGGUCUUUAUAAAGUAAUUACACGACACUUAUUAAUUUGCCAUAGAAUUCAAUGUCUGUACUUUCGCCUCCUCCGGGGACAUGAACACCGCUGUUUUGUGUACACAACUUGUCAUUUCGUGCACCCGCUAAGAACUUGACGCCAUUGACAUGGCAGCCCGAGUACAAUUCAACGCGAAUUGGUCCGAACGCUAAGUUAUAUAACUCUUCACUGUACGCAGGGGAAUUCGAUGUUGUCAGUUGAUUCACCUAAUAUUAAACAAACAUUUAAAUUUGUUAGUUCAAGCAACUUAAUUGGUACAAUAUAUAUGUCCAAUACAAAACACUUCAAACUUACAUAUUCGAGAAACCACUGCGGAAAUAAUUCACGGUGUUUCUUGGCAUACAAAUGUGAAGGAUGUGCCUGCUUCAUCAUAUUUUCAUGCUCGUCUAGGUGUGACAGUGUCUCAUCACAAUUGUUGAGUACGAACCAAUGUGCUACAUCCAUGUUCUUCUUGGAAAACGACUCACCACAAAUCGGAUCUCCGAAUGGUCGAGCGACCUAGGCAAAAAUUGAAAGUUUCUCCUUUCUCACACCCCCGUCAUUAUUGUGAGGAUGAUGAUUGAAAGUUGUCUCAACAUCUUUUAAAUACAUUCCAGAAAAUGUAAGUGCCUCAUAUGACACCCAAGCUUGUAUAAUGAAUCAUUCGGGCUUCGCUUUGUUUCGUACACUUUUCUUCAAGUCUUCGAGAAGCAUGCCAAAAGGAAAUGAUACGAUACACAUAUUACUAAUCGUAAUAUAUUUAAUAUCGAUUAAUAAAAAAGACGAGGAAUAUAUACCUUUCUAUUUGAUACAUCCAUCGAAAGUUGACUGGUCCAGCAAGCAAUGCCUCAUCUGGUAAGUGAACCAUCACGUGUAUCAUACUUGUGAAGAAGGCUGGAGGAAAUAUCAUCUCAAACUUGCAUAGAACUUGCACAAUGUCAUGGCGCAACUGAUUAAUGUCCGUUCUUCGUAACGUUCUUGACGUCAAUUGCGAAAAAAAACUAGACAACAUGAUUGGUUUCACUACAUCAGGUGGCAAGAGAUGUCGAAUACCCAUAGGAAGUAGGCGUUGCAGAACCACAUGGUAGUCAUGACUCUUUAAGCCAGCUAAUUUACCCCCGUCAACGUUCACGCAACGCACGAUAUUUAAAGCAUACCCAUCGAGAAACUUUACAGACGAUAAAAACUUUAAAAAUUCUUUCUUGUCAUUCGAUUUCAUUGAAAAAAAUGCAAGAUCCCUUCUGGCUUUAUCAUUGUCCCUAUUCAUCCAUAAACCCCGUCGUAUUUCCAUUCGUUCCAAAUCAAGACGAGCUUUGAUUGUGUCCUUUGUCUUGCCUUCAAUAUCUAUAAUUGUGCCGACCAAUGUAUCAAAUACAUUUUUCUCAACAUGCAUAACAUCGAGGUUGUGUCUCAAUUUUAGUUUAGACCAAUAUGAGAGCUCAAAAAACAUAGACUUGUGUGUCCAGUUCAUAUGUGUAGCAGGUCUUGUCCUAGUGACAUUGGUCCUAAAAUGAGCAAAAUCCAAACUGUUAAGCUGUUCCAAAAUAUGAGAACCAAACCAUUCUCUGAGUCUAAGGUGAUGCUCUUUCUCCCCGUCAAACUCUUUAUCCUUCUCUCGCCACUCAUGGUCCCAAGGCAACCAUCUUCGAUGACCAAGGUAACAAACUUUUCUAGCGUGCCAACUAGAUGUUACGUCUUCCUUGCAUACAGAGCAUGCCAUAUAACCCCUAGUGCUCUAUCCGGAAACCAUUGCAUAUGCGGGGAAAUUGUUCACAGUCCACAUCACUACAGCCCGUAAAGUGAACAUCUUGCCAGUACAUUUAUCUUAUGUGCACACACUGUGUGUCCAUAAAUCUUUUAGCUCAUCCACAAACGACCGUAAGUAUACAUCGAUUGACCUACCAGGAUCCUCAGUUAUCAAUAGAGUCAUCAUCAUGUAUUCUUUUUUCAUACAUUUCCAUGGUGGCAAAUUAUACGGAAAUAUGAAAAUUGGCCAAGUACUGUGGUGUUGGUUUAAAACCCUAAACGGAUUAAAUCCAUCAGUGGCAAGUCUCAAUUUAACGUUACGAGAAUCAGCAGCAAACUCGAGGAACAUUCAAUCUAACUCUUUCCAUGCCUCCCCAUCUGCAGGAUGUCGUAUCACAUCGUCGUCUACCCGUUUUUUCUUAUGUCAUCUCAUGUCUGUGGCAGCAUGCAACAACAUAUACAAUCACUGCAACCUAGGUUUCAGGGGCAGAUAACGCAUGACUUUUUGUGGGAUCUUAGUGGUUCUAUUAUGAGAUGUCAUUUUGAACCUUGACUCAUUGCAUAUAGGGCAUUUAUCCAAUGUUUUAUACUCUUCGUAGAAUAAAAUACAAUUGUUUUUGCAAGCAUGAAUUUUUUUCAUAACCUAAUCCAAGACCUUUCAACACCUUUUGCGCGUCUCUAUGGUCUUUCGGCAAACAAUUGUCCUUCGGAAGCAUUCUCUUGAAAACCCCUAAAAAGUAAUCGAAACACUGGUUCGACAUACGAUGCUUUAUUUUUCCAUGCAUUAGUUCCACAAUGGCCGUGAGAACGAAAAAGCUUUCGCACCCCGAGUAUAACUCUUGGUUGGCAUUUUUUAAUAGUUUUUUUAUAUUGUUCGAACUCUGCACUGUCCAUUAGUGUAGGCAUGUCAUCUUCCCCUUCGUGAUUGGUGUUUGUCGAUGCAAAUGGAAAAACAUCAUUUAUAAUAUCCAUGACUUGUUCAUUAGGAUCGACAAUAGGUUCAACAUUAUCCACUCUUGUGGCAUACGAAGACGAAGCAUUGUCUAAUUGUUCCCCAUGAUGGUUCCAAGUAUUAUAUGUCUCAAUCAUUCCAUUCCUUACUAAAUGAAAUCGAACAUUUUCUAUUGUCUCCCUUAACGUGUUGUUACACCUCCUACAAGGACACCGGAUUUUAGUUGCACCCGAGUUGUGUGUACUUGCAAAGUCAAUAAAAUCCUCGAUUCUAUCCAAGUAUUCGUCCGUGCAUCUAUUCGGGUUCUGUAUCCACGUCCUGUCCAUAAUUCCUGGAACCACAAUAACAAUACAACAAUCACAAUACAAUAAUCACAACAACUUCAUACAAACUGAUAAUGUCACCUUAUGCCUCCGGCAGGGGCCCUAUCUCAUUCGAGAAUGCAUAGUUAUGUCACGUAAUUUACGGCUACAUCAGAUUAGAUUUCGACGUGGAUGAAUUUCGGCAGCAUCUCGAUACAGUUUUUCAGGUGUACGACCCGAAGAAUGUACAGAGAUGAUACUGAAAUCUCCACAACCGAAACCUAAUCCUUCAACCAUAAACUACGCAUCAUAACUGUGCAUUCCCAAAAUGUCCAAAUAAUGGGACAAUUCAAGAAUUAAUUGGACCGCAGUCAUGCUUUCGCAUCCAUGCGCGAAAUCCAACUAAUCCUUAAACGGGAAACUAAGUUUUACUAAAAAUAAAAAACAAGUACGAAGUUAAUUUCAAUUAACUCCGUAGAUCACAACACAUAUUUGUACGUCAAGUACAAAUUUAACAACAUAAUAUAAAUAUAAUUUCAGAGCACAAUAUAAACAUAACAAACUAAGUUCAACAUAAUUUAAUUAAUGGUGUAUGUUUAAAAAAUAAAACAAAGAAAUUACCUUCUCAAUCGUUAUCCACCAAUCGCUAAUCACACACAAUAUCCCUAUAGAGAAUGAAAUUAAUGGCGUUAGUAUGAAUUUACAUUAAUACUUUUACCGUAACGACAAAAAACGCUUACCAGACACACCGAGAUAGCUCGAUCAACCUAGAGAAGAUGGACGGAGUAGUUUAGAUGAUGAAAUUGAGAGAAAAUCAAAAUGAAGGAUACCAGAUUCAGCAAAAUCGCAGGGAUGAGUGUAGAGGCACAAUCUGCAAAUUUUUUGGAGUUUGCCUCUGCACAAGGCUGAUUUAAAGAUGAACGAUUUUGCGUGACGAAUAAUAUGUUAGUCGAGCAAAGAACCUUUGAGCGACAAAGAAAACUUUUUCGUCGCGCAAAUAUUUCUUGCACGACAAACGUUUGUAUUCGUCGCUCAAAUGUUAUUUGUGCGACGAAAGAAGACGUUCGUCGUGCUAGAAAUAUAUAUUUUUUAUUUUUUAUGUUUUCCUUCUUUAUUUCUAUGUACUGUAAAUUUUUAUUUUAUUAUAAAUCAAAAACUCAAACCUAAUUAAACUUUAAAUUAAUUAACAAAACUAAUUUAUGAUCCCAAAUAAAAAUUAUAAUUAGUACAAAUAUUAAUACUCAUCCACAUAACAUAUAUUUAUUCAUUAAAUUCAACAUAAAGUCCACAAAAUCUUAUUUUUAAAAAAUAAAAAUAAAAAAUAAAAACCCUCAUCAACUUCAAUCCUCCCUGGCCUACAACACAUCAAACUUCCACUUCCGAAAUCUCUGCUUGAAAAGCCCAAUGACAUAAAUCCAUUGUGUCUCAUCGGUUUCAUCAAUAUCCCAAUGAACCUACAUUAAUGUCAAUAACAAUAAAUUAGUAAUUUAAAAAAUAUUACGUUUUAUCAAAAAUAAUUUUUCAAUAUUUACCAUAAAUUUACCGAUAACUCUCCCAGCAUGGACUUCUUCAGCUCCUCAGGGAUCUUUUUCCAAGACUCAAACUCGGCAGAACAAUCCAUCUGCACCAAAUUCCCAAUGUCAUAAAUGAAUUCGGCAUACACCUCAGCCAAAUUUUUGCCUUCAAAGUACGGCACUUGCUUCCGUCGGUACCUCUCUACUCGCACUACAACUUUCUUUUUCCCAGAACCUUCCCCGGAAUCGGCCAUUCUUUUUUAAACAAAAAAAUUUUGAAAACUUCGACUCUGAAACUGUGUUUAUAUAGCACUCGGACAACUUUGCGCGACGAAAUAGUCGUCGCGUAAAACUAUAACCCGUCACGCAAAAUGCGUCAUUAAUGAGCAAUAAAUUGGAAGGUUUGAACGCAUUCAGACAGCGCACUGCGCGACAAACACAUGUAUUCAUCGCGCAAGGUGUAUUUGAGUGACGAAUUAUCGUCGCGCAAUAUACUGAUAGUUCAUCCAUCACAAGCUUUUUCACAUUUCCUAACACAUCUUUCCAAGAACGCCACUCAGCAAUGGGGCAAUUAUUCCUCAUAGCUACAGCAAUUGCACGAGCAAACACAAAAUGUUCUCUCAUAUCAUGCGCGUCGGCCUUGCGCACACUCUUGUUGUUUUUAUCCGCCAUCUCAGCACGAACAGAAUUGUGAAGAAAAUGACAGUAGAAGCGCCUAUUUGUAGCAAAGUUAGGAUCUUUGCGCGACGAACUCUUUGUUGCGCAAACAUCUACAUUAAAUAGCCUCAGAUUUACCUUGUUGAUGCAUAAAAUCAGUGAGGACUUUGGUACAACAAAAAGUGUUAAGUUUGUGACCUUCGCUAGAUUGCUCCGGUCACUAGUAUGGAUAAGUAUGUAAAUGGAUAGAGAUAGGGAAGCAAACACAAGAUGUAUGUGGUUCACCCUGAUUGGCUACAUCCACGGAGUAGAGGAGUUCUCAUUAAUUGUGAAGGGUUUACACAAGUACAUAGGUCCAAGCUCUCAUUUAGUGAGUACAAAUAUUGUGAGAGAAUGAUCUCUAUUUAUAGAAGAGAGUUUCUAGUUUCUUUCUGAUAUUGACACGUGUCGUGUUGUGAUUGGCUUCUGAUGUUGACACGUGUCGCGCUAUGAUUGGCUUCCUGGUUGGAGGGAAACUCUUCUGGGUCCUUGAUGGUAUAACAUUGACCGUGCUCAGUAGUUUCAGGAUUGGUCAAGUAUGGUACAAACAGUGCUCCCCUAAGGUCCCGAGUGAGGGAAGCUUCUCGGUUGGGGACUUGCAAGAUCCAAGCCAUUGAGUAAUCACGAAACUUCUAAGUACCGAAGUGUGGUAUCAUUUUCACUUACCUUAUCUGUCUCAUAUGUAGAUGUGGCAUCUUCUCUGGAAGUACUUUUCCUCCAUCCAGGGGUGGUAUCUUUAAUCGAUGAAGAUGCACAAGGUAAUGUAUCAAUUUCACUUGAAGCUUACUUGUAGUUUCGGGCUUAGUCAAGUGCGAUACAAACCCUAUAGUAGGAGUCCCCCAAGUCACCGAGCUAGGAGAUUUACCGAAUGAGGUAACAGACAAGGUAAGCAAUCAGACUUCCAAGCAAGCAACCUGGAUCGGAGGUUGGACUUCGGUUUCCGGUUAAUUGUUCUCAUUCUCCUUGUGUCGUAAACAACAACAAGGAUAAGGAGAAGCAAAUGGAGAAGAGAUGAUAUGAGAUACUUUUGCUUUUGAAGAAGUAACUUUCCACAGGCUUAUUCUUGAACUGGGUUGGAAGGUUUUCUAGUUUCCUCCAGAGUAUAAGGCCGACUCAAGAAUUUGAGGGUCAAAACAAGUCCAUCAAAUCUAGAGUAUGUUUGACCUUGAUGAUAUGUGAUACUUUUGCUGUUGACAAAGUAGUGGAUGUAUCGGCACGUGUUCUAUUACGCUUGUCUCCACAUGUUUCCUUGUAUCCUUCUCACUUACCCUAUCUGUUCUUCAGGCAGACGUGGUAUCUUCUCUGGAAGCAUAAGAUGUUGAAGAUGAGUACUCAAGAGCAAUGUCAGAUAAGUAAUCAGGCAAGGGGUUCCAGGCAGUCAGUUCCUAACUGGAAGCUUGAUUCCAAGUGCUGACUGAUUACUCUCUUUCUUCUUAUCUUACAGGUAAGAACAAGGCCAAAGGAAAAGACAGGUGAAAAGCAUGAUAUGGGAUACUCUUGCUUUUAACCUUGAUGAUAUGAGAUACUCUUGCUCUGGUGUAGCUUGUUUGCAGAGGUAUUAUCAGGAGGAAAAGAAGCUAAGUAUUUUGAGAGACUCUGCUGAGAGUGCCCUCUCGGAUGUGAAGAAAAGUUGAGCAUUUUUUUUAUUUGCAGGUCUACUUGGCUGUGGAGGAUGAAGGUCGACAUAUAUAGGAGUCUCCCUAACAACAAGUAGUAGUGCUAUUCAUUUACCCUUCUUGGUCAUAGCAAUGUAGUGGGAGCUGCAAGCUUCACGUGUUUUAACUUUGUCAGAGCACUUUGAAAAAUUGGUCUGUGGUAUCUGGAAAGCUGAUGUUGCGUGUGAAGAUGGGAGAUAAGCUUUAUCCAAGGAAAUCUGGCUCUCGAAGUUUGGAUAGCGAUGCCUCUUCGGUUUUCGAACAAGCAAUCUUAUCGGGGAUUUGGCUCUCGGGAUUCAGAGAACGAUGCCUCUUUCAUUUUUAAGAAAGCAAUCCUGUUGGGAGUCUGACUCUUGAGAUUCGCAGAGCAGUGUCUCUUCGAUUUUUAAGAAAGUAAUCCUGUUGGGAGUCUGGCUCUCGAGAUUCGGAAGGCGGUGCCUCUUCGAUUUUUGAGCACGUAAUCCUGUUGGGAGUUUGGCUCUCGAGAUUCAGAGAGCAGUGUCUCUUCGAUUUUUGAGAAAAUAAUCAUGUUGGGAGUCUGGCACUUGAGAUUCGGAGAGUGGUGCCUCUUCGAUUUUUGAGCAAGCAAUCUUGUUGGGAGUGUUUUCUCAAAUAUGAGUAAAGGUUGGGCAUUUUUGCUAGUCUGCCUUGCCACGGAGCACGGAGGUUGACACACAUUAGGACUUUCUAGUUAUCAAGCAAUGGUGCUGUUCCUUUACCCUUGUGGGUAAUAGUAGGGUAGCUGGACCUUCAAAAUUUAUGUGUCUAAACUUUGUCAGAGAUCUUUGGCAAAGUUAUCUGUGGUACCCGAGAAGUUGAUGUUACAUGUGGAAAGUGGUGCCUCUUCGGAAUCUGGAGAGUGGUGCCUCUUCGAUUUUUGAACCAACGGCCCUGUUGCCUUUUCUUUUAUAAGGGCACCAAUUGUGUGCAAGAAGUACAUUUAGAGAGUUAUUGCUUGUAGGAAUUCUCCCCUUACUUCAGAGAUUUAUUGCACCUCAUUUCUCCUUCAUCAUUUCUGAGAAUGUCUGGCCCAUCUGAUCGUCGUUUUAACUUGAACUUUGGUGAAGAGGUAGCCAUGCCUUCUCAAGCCAACAUAUGACGCCCAUCCUUCUUAUCCCCUACUGGUCCUCUUACCGUUGGGGACUCUGUGAUGAAGAAUGAUAUGACCGCUGCGGUGGUGUCCAAGAACCUUCUCACUCCCAAAGAUAAUAGACUAUUUUCCAAACAGUCUGAUGAGUUGGCUGUUAAGGAUUCUCUUGCUCUCAGUGUUCAGUGUGCAGGUUCUGUGUCUAAUAUGGCCCAACGCCUAUUUGCUCGAACCCGCCAAGUUGAAUCAAUGGCGGCUGAAGUGAUAAGUCUCAAACAGGAGAUCAGAGGGCUCAAGCAUGAGAAUAAACAGUUGCACAGGCUCGCACAUGACUAUGCUACAAACAUGAAGAGGAAGCUUGACCAGCUGCAGGAAUCUGAUGGUCAGAUUUUACUUGAUCAUCAGAGGUUUGUGGGUUUGUUCCAAAGGCAUUUAUUGCCUUCGUCUUCUAGGGUUGUACUGCGUAAUGAAGCUCCAAAUGAUCAACCUUCGUUGCCUCCUCCUUCUAGGGUUCUGCCUAGUACUGAGGCUCCGAAUGAUCACCCUUCGGUGCCUACUCUUUCUGGGGCUCUGCCGACUGCUGAGACUUCUCAUGAGCAACCUUUGUGAAGGCUCUCUCUUGUUUGUUUAUUUUGAUUCAUGUAUAUGUACAUAUUUGUAACUUAUCGGAGAUAUCAAUAAACAAGCUUUGCUUCAUUUCAACGUAUUGUGUUAAAUACACCAAGGCCUUCUUCACUAAGUUCUUUGAAUUUUUUCUUUUGUUGAAGCUUGUAUGUUGAACCUUUGAGAGUGAAGCAUGUAUGUUGAGGUAGUGCUUUCUUAAUUUCCCGAGUGAGGAAAACUUCUCGGUUGGAGACUUGAAAAAUCCAAGUCCAUGAGUGGUCGUGAGACUUCUGAGUAUCAAGGUGCAGUAGCAUAUGGUAGGUGUCCCCCAAGUCUCCGGUAGAGGGAGUUGACGAAUGAGGCAUUUCCUUUCUAAGUGGUAGCCCAAAACUCCUCCUUCAUAUAUAUUUGUUAUGAAAGUUGUUUGGCCUAAAGAAGAGGAGGCCUAGGCAAUUUUUUUUUUCUUUUCGAAUUUUCAAAUUUUCGAAUUUUUGAAUUUUUGAAUUUCCGAAAAUAUAUAUAUAUUAAGCUUUGUAGGUGAAGCUUUGGUGUUGAAGCUUUGUAGGUGAAGCUUUGAGCUUUGAAGUUGAAGCUUUGUUGGGCACCAAGAAUUGAUUUUGCUUCACACUAUCUUGAACAAGAUAGUGUGAAGCUUUUGUAGGUGAAGCUUUUGUGUUGAAGCUUUGUAGGUGAAGCUUUUGUGGGUUAAGCUUUUGUGGGUUAAGCUUUUGUAGGUGAAGUUUUUGUGGGUCAAGUUUUUGUAGGUCAAGCUUUUGUGGGUCAAGCUUUUGUGGGUCAAGCUUUUAUGGGUAAAGCUUUUUUAGGUCAAGCUUUUGUGGGUCAAGCUUUUGUGUUGAAGCUUUUGUUGGUGAAGCUUUUGUGGUGAAGCUUUGUUGGGUACCACGAAUUGAUUUUGCUUCACACUAUCUUGAUCAAGAUAGUGUGAAGCUUUUGAGAAUUUGUAGUUGUCCUCCAUUGAUGAAGCUUUGUUGAAUUUCCCUUUUUUUUUCUUUUUUUUCUUUUUUUGGGAAACUAGAAAUUUGAAAAUGUGGGAGAGACAACAUAUACAAAUUUUGCUUCCAUACUGUUGAGCAAGAGAUUGUGAUGCAAGCCACACCUUGUAGUAGUCGAAGGUUUGGAUGAACCAUAUAAAUUGAAUUUGCUUCGAACAGUCUUGAAUUUGCUUCGAAUGUUUAAGAAUUGUAGUUGCCCUCCAUUGAUGAAGCUUUUGUUGGCACCAUAAAUUGGUUUUGCUUCAUAUUGUCUUGAUCAAGAGUGUGUGAAGCUUUUGAGAAUUGUGGUUGAACUCAUUUGAUGAAGCUUUUGUUGGCACCAUAAAUUGGUUUUGCUUCACACUGUUUUGAUCAAGAGUGUGAAGCUUUUGAGAAUUGUGGUUGCCCUCUAUUGAUGAAGCUCUUGUUGGCACCAUAAAUUGGUUUUGCUUCACACUGUCUUGAUUAAGAGUGUGUGAUGCUUUUGAGAAUUAUGGUUAAACUCCUUUGAUGAAGCUCUUGUUGGCACCAUAAAUUGGUGUUGCUUCACACUGUGUUGAUCAAUAGUGUGUGAAGCUUUUAAGAAUUAUGGUUGCCCUCCAUUGAUGAAGCUUUUGUUGGCACCAUAAAUUGGUUUUGCUUCACACUGUCUUGAUCAAGAGUGUGUGAAGCUUUUAAGAAUUGUGGUUGCCCUCUAUUGAUGAAGCUCUUGUUGGCACCAUAAAUUGGUUUUGCUUCACAUUGUCUUGCUCAAGAGUGUGUGAAGCUUUUGAGAAUUGUGGUUGCCCUCCAUUGAUGAUGCUCUUGUUGGCACCAUAAAUUGGUUUUGCUUCACAUUGUCUUGAUCAAGAGUUUGUGAAGCUUUUGAGAAUUGUGGUUGCCCUCUAUUGAUGAAGCAUUUGUUGGCACCAUAAAUUGGUUUUGCUUCACACUGUCUUGAUCAAAAGUGUGUGAAGCUUUUGAGAAUUGUGGUUGAACUCCUUUGAUGAAGCUAUUGUUGGCACCAUAAAUUGGUUCUACUUCACACUUGUCUUGAUCAGGAGUGUGUGAAGCUUUCUACGAGUUGUAGUGUUUGCAUUGUUACAGACGGUAAAUUUUUGAAGCAUAUGCAAGAUGGCUGAAUAGCUUGAUCUUCGUAUGCCAUGCACUAAAGUUGUUGUUGGCUUGCAAUAAAACUUUGUUGGUGACUAUAACUCUUGUUGGGCAUAAAUGAUCCCCUAGUUGAGUUGUCAAGCUUGAGGGUUUUUGAUUAUUUGUGAAUGCUAGGAGUUCGCAUGUACAAGUUGUACCACUCGUCUUCUGGUAGGUGGAAUGAAUGGUGAAUUGCUUUCAUCACUUGGUUGGUGGUAGGAAGGUGAGUUCCUUUAUCACCUUUCAUCACAUUUCAUCACCUGGUUGGUGGCACGAGGAUAAGUUCCUUCUUCCUCUGGUUGGUUGCAUGAAUGGCAAGUUGCCAAAUGAUAUUAGAGUACGGGUUGUACAUUUCAUCACCUGGUUGGUGGUAUGAAGAUAAGUUCAUUCUUCACCUGGUUGGUGGCAUGAGUGGCAAGUUGCCAAAUGAUAUUAGAGUAUGGGUUAUACAUUUCAUCACCUGGUUGGUGACAUGAAGAAGAGUACGGGUUGUACAUUUCAUCACCUGGUUGGUGGCAUGAAUGACAAGUUGCCAAAUGAUAUUAGAGUAUGGGUUGUACAUUUCAUCACCUGGUUGGUGGCAUAAAGAUGAGUUCCUUCUUCACCUGGUUGGUGGCAUGAGUGGCAAGUUGCCAAAUGAUAUUAGUGUAAGGGUUGUACGUUUCAUCACCUGGUUGGUGGCAUGAAUGAGAGUACGAGUUGUACAUUUUAUCACCUGGUUGGUGGUGUGAAGGAGAGUACGGGUUGUACAUUUCAUCACCUGGUUGGUGGUAUGAAGAUGAGUUCCUUCUUCACCUGGUUGGUGGCAUGAGUGGCAAGUUGCCAAAUGAUAUUAGAGUAUGGGUUGUACAUUUCAUCACCUGGUUGGUGGCAUGAAGGAGAGUACGGGUUGUAUAUUUCAUCACCUGGUUGGUGGCACAAAGAUGAGUUCCUUCUUCACCUUUCAUCCCCUGGUUAGUGAGAAUAAAGGCAAGGUGUCUAGGCACAUUGUAGCAAGUGUCAAAUGACACAAAGUAUGUUGAACCCUUUCAAAGCACAGUUGGCUUAUGUAUAAAUGUGUUGGAGUGUAUGAUUGAACGAAUGUACUGUGAAGCUGAUCAUUUAGUUGUAUAGUCUUGUUGACAUAUACUUAGACUUUGUUUCAUGUUGGAAGCAUUCAUGUUGAAGCUUUGAACCAGAGUGUUUCAUUGCUAUGAAUGUAAGAGGAUUAGGACCGAGUUGUCUAAAUCACAUCUUUAUUGAAUUCAUGCCAAAUAGUCUUCGUUACAUAAGAUGCCGAACGGCUGAAGCUUAACACUUGUACAAUGUUAGUUUACUUGUAAUAGUACUUCAAGUGAUCAGCGUUCCAUGGAUGGCCAAAGGUCAUGCCAUCAGAGCUUCUAAGCUUGUAGGAGCCAAAGCGACUGAUGCCAACAACUUCAAAUGGUCCAUCCCAGUUUGGACUAAGUGUUCCUUCACUCAGGACUCUGUCGCAGAGUAAUCUUUUCUUCAAUACCCAGUUCCCUACUUUGAAAGAACGAGGUUUGACCCUUGAGUCAUAGUAGUUGGAGAUGCGUUGCUUGUAGGCGACAUUCCUCAAGUGAGCCUGGUUUCUAUGUUCCUCGACUAGAUCUAAGUUGAGGGUAAGUUGUUUGUCAUUUUCGCUUUGCACGUAGUUCUGGACUCGAAACGUUGUUUGCUCAAGCUCAACUAGGACAACUGCCUCUGUACCAAAAGCAAGUGAGAAUGGGGUUUCUCCUGUUGAUGUCCGAUACGAAGUGUGGUAUGACCAAAGAACUUGGGGUACAAAUUCUGGCUAACAACCUUUAGCCUUGUCCAAGCUGGUUUUCAAAGUUCGCUUGAUUAUUUUGUUGAUGGCUUCAACUUGUCCAUUAGACUGGGGAUGAGAUGGGGAGGCAAAACAUAAGUUGAUGUUGAACUUAAAGCAAAACAUCUUGAACUUAUUGUUGUUAAACUGUCACCCAUUGUCAGUGACUAUCGCAUUGGGAAUGCCGAAUCUACAAAGGAUGUUCUUCCAUACGAAAUCUUCUAUUUUUGCCUCAGUAAUGGUUGCGAAGGGUUCUACUUCGGCCCACUUUGUGAAGUAGUCAACUACAACGAUUGCAUAGCGAACCUUGCCCUUCCCUGCAGGCAUUGGACCGAUCAAAUCAAGUCCCUAUUGGGUAAAGGGCCAAGGGCUGAUCAUAGGAGUGAGCGGCUCAGAAGGGGAGUGAGGAAUAGUUGUGUAGCGUUGACACUUAUCACAUGAGCGGGAUAUUCUGAUGGCAUUUUGGUAGAGUGUUGGCUAGUAAUAUCCUUGGUGAAAAGCCUUAUGUGCUAGGGAUCGAGAUCCAGCAUGAUCUCCGCAGACUCCUUCAUGUAUUUCCCGAAUGACAGUUUCCGCCUCUACGAGCGUAAGGCAUCUUAGGUAUGGUAGGUUAAAACCCCGCUUGUAGAGUUGGUCAUUAAUGAUCAAGUAACGGGUAACCUUGUAUCGAAUCUGCUUAGCUUAGACUUUGUCAUUUGGAAGGGUGCCAUGAGGAAGGAAUCUAUAAAUCAGGGUAAUCCAACUAUCCCCCUGUUGUAAGUUGCACACUUCCGCAGCCAUGGUGCUUGGUGCUGCCAACAAUUCGACCUGAAUUUUUCUCCCAAUCUUGUCUUCCACCGCUGAGGCGAAGCGAGCCAAAGCAUCUGCAUGACUGUUUGCCGUUCGAGGAAUUUGGGUGAUCUAGUAGUGGAAGUGCUUGAGCAACAAUUGUGUUUGUGCCAGAUAUGCUGCCAUGGAGCUAUCCUUAGCGUCAAAGUUAUUGGUGACCUGGUUAACCACCAAUUAGGAGUCACUGAAGAUGUCAAUUCGUUUAACCCCAAGGUGUUUGGCCAAACGUAAGCUUGCUAUGAGGGCUUCAUAUUUGGCCUCAUUGUUCGACGCCUUGAAUUUGAAACGAAGGGCAUACUCCAUCGCCAUUUUGUCAAGCGUCGUAAGGACUAGUCCUGCUUCAUAACCCUGUUGGUUGGACGAUCUAUCAACAUAUAUACUAUGUGCUGGGGCUGUUGGUUCUAUUUUCUGUGCUUCCAAGGAUAAUAAAACCACUUCUUUAGGCGUAGAAACAAUGUCAACAUGAUAUGUUAAGUUGGUGAUGAAGUCUGCCACUGCUUGGCCCUUCUAAGCUGGCUUUGGUUGGUAGGAGAUGUCAAACUCACCCAAUGCUAUCGCCCAUUUGAUCAUUCACCUAGAAAUGUCAGGACUUUGGAGUAUCUGUCUAAGAGAAUGAUUGGUAAGCACGAUGAUGAAGUGUGCUUGGAAGUAAGGGCGAAGUUUUCGAACAAACAUGACCAAUGCUAGAGCCAAUUUCUUAAUGUUGGAGUAUCGUGUCUCCGCAUUUUGUAAGGCCUUGCUAGCGUAGUAGACAAGCUGUUCGACAUUACCAUCUUUUCAAAUGAGAACAGAACUUACUGCUGAAGUCGAUACCCACAGAUAGAUAAUGAAAGUGUCACCAACCUCAGGUUUGGAGAGCAAAUGGGCUUUACUCAUGUAAUCUUUGAAGUUCUUGAAUGCCUCAGCACAUUCAUCAGUCCAUGAAAAUAGCACAUAUGUCUGUGGCCUUAGAGAUGAACCUAGUUAAGGCUGCCACCUUGCCAGCAAGGCUCUAGAUGCCUUUUGAAGUUAUCGGUUCCUUCAUGUCGAGGAUUGCUUUGAUCUUCUCGGGAUUAACCUCAAUGCCUCAUUGGCUUAUCAUGAAGCCUAAGAAUUUGCCUGAGCCUACGCCGAAGGCACAUUUGUUGGGGUUCAACCUCAUUCGAUACCUUUUCAGAAUGGCGAAAGUUUCAAAUAGGUUGAUGAUGUGUUGGUCAGCAUGUUUACUCUUAACUAGCAUAUCAUCAACGUAAACUUCCAUGCUUUUCCCAAUCUGUUCGGCGAACAUUAAAUUGACCAAUCUCUGAUAAGUCGCUCCUGCAUUCUUUAGGCCGAAGGGUAUAACUUUAUAGCAAUAUAGUCCCUUGUCAGUAGUGAAGGCUAUGUGUUCUUGGUCUGGAGGGUUCAUGAGGAUUUGGUUGAAUCCUGAGUAAGCAUUUAUAAAGCUCAGGAGUUCACACCCUGCCGUAGAGUCUAUAAGUUUGUCUAUGAAAGGAAGAGGAAAGCUAUCCUUCGGGCAUCCUUUGUUUAGGUCGGUGUAAUCGACACACAUUCUCCACAAGACCUUUUUGGAGCAGGAGACUUUCCUUGGUCGGAUUCUUCUUAACAAGGACAACAUUUGCUAACCACGUUGGAUAAUUGACUUCGCGAACGAAGCAUAUGCCUUUGAGUUUUUCAACUUCUGCCUUCAUUACCUCGUACCGUUCAGCGUCAUAAAAUCUUUUCUUCUGUCUCACUAGCUUGGUCUUGGGGUCAAUACUUAAGCGAUGACAGAUUAUAUCGGGAGAAAUGCCUGGCAUGUCCUCGUAUGACCAGGCGAAGACCUCAGUGUUCUCUUGCAAAAAAGAUAUCAAUGCCAACCGAAUGGGUGGUGACAAAGUGGUACCAAUCUUCACCAUGCAAUCUGGAUAAUCUUUUGAGAUAGAGACAUUCUUUAACUUUUCGGCAGGUUGUGCUUGCUGGGUGAAAGAAUCAUCUCGAGGAUCGUCGGGUUGACUGUUGCCACCGUGAAGAUCCAAGUUAGCUUUGUCUGGGCUGGUCUUUAUGACUUAGUCAUGUAUAGAAAAGGUUUCCUUGGGCACAGGCAGGUGUUGUUGCUUGACCGAAGUGUUGUAACAUGAUCGUGCACUAAGUUGAUCUUCUCUGAUGUAACCAUUGCUAUAGGGGGUUGGAAAUUUCAUCAACAACAUAUGUGUGAUACCAUGGCCUUAAGAUCAUUGAUGCCUGUGCGUCCGAAGAUGACAUUGUAUGCCGUUGAGCAAUCAACCACCAGGAAGUCAGUGGUAAUGGUAGCUGUGUAAGGGCAUGUACCAAUGGUGAAAGGUAAAUGUAUGCUCCCCAGAGGUUGCACGAUAUCACCGGAGAAGCUUAUCAAAGGGGAAAUUAAGUGAUCGAGCAAGUGUUCAGCUACAUUAAGUGCCCUGAAAGCUUCAGCAAACAUGAUAUUGAUCGAAGCCCCUAUGUCUACCAGGAUUCGUCGUACUUCAAAGUUGGCUAUAUGAGCUUCCACGAUCAGUAGGUCGUUGUGAGGGUAGAUGAUACAUCUUUCUUCCUCAGGGUAGAAACAUAUUGGAUCCCAAUUAGGCUUUUGAUACUUACCUCCCCUGAUGUCUUCCAUAUGAAACACUUGGUGGCCCGACCUUAAAGCUCAUUCACUAUUUUUCAUAGUCCUGUUGGAAGAUUUAGAUAUGGGUGUGCCACCACUUAUGGAAUAUAUCACAUUCACCUGGUAUUGGUUACGGUUACCCCUUGGAGAGUCAAGGAGGAAUUGAUCAAUUUUUCCUUCACGUGCCAAAGCUUUAAUAUGAUCACGAAGGGUGAUACACUUCUCGCCGUCAUGGCCGUUAUGCUCGUGGUAGCAGCAAAAUAUGCCCUUGUUCUUCAUGGGCUUGUAAUUCGGGUGCCUCGGUUUUGGCUUUGGUAUCAAGUGUGCUAUGCUGGGGUAAAUGGCUACGCAUGUGGUGUUCAAAGGUGUGUAUGCCUUAUACCUCGGGGUAGGGGCUGUCCUGACACGUGCUUGACCCACUGUGUUGACUGCCUGGGGUCAGGGAUUAUCGUGGUGAUACCCUUGGUUAUCGCGGUAGUGUUCCUUACUCCUUUUACUAAAAUGAGACUGGAGAGGAUAGAAAUCUUUCCUUUUGCCCUGAGAUUGAUAUGUUUGUUGACUUGGCAAAGUAUUAAGUAAGGAAGGGGGAGGCACCACUGCCGUUUGGAAGGUCGAGGUCUUCUCAUUUGGUUGGAUCUGGGUUCCACUCCCUACUUGCUGAUAAGGGGUGGCUGUGGGGGGUUUCCCUUGAUAUAUCUUUGCCUCGGCGGAGGCAUGGUUGUAAGCCUGUGCCAUCACCUCAGAGUAAGUUUUCCAAGUGUUGGCAUUGAUCAUGUACUUGAAGAAACAAUCACGUAGGCCUACCAUGAAGGCCUUGAGGGCGAUCUUGUCAUCUACCUCAGCGCAGCGAGAAUACUCAUGGCUGAAGCGACCGGCAUACUCUCGUAGUGACUCAUCAUCCGGCUUCUGGCGAAUAGUGUACAAGUCAUCUGCAGAAUGCAAGCGAUCGGUCUGGAAAAUGUGUUGAAAAACAAACAGUUUCCUCAAUUCCUCAAAUGAGUCUACCGUCUCAGGUGGAAGACGGCAAUACUAGUUUAGAGCUCCGCCAGAGAGGGUGGAGGGGAAGAGAAGACAUCGCUUUUCGCCGUGUGUAUCCGGUAUGCUAUGGUGGACUCAAAGAGGUUAAAGUGUUCAAUCGGGUCCUCUUUUCCAGUAUAGAGUUGCAAGCCAAGCUUCUGUUUUGUCUUUGCUUGGAGGGGGGUGUCGAGGAUCCUCCUUGUAAGAGGGCCAGGCCUACGUUGGUUCCAAUCAGGUAUCUCAGCUUGUCGUUCGACCUUCAACUUGUUUACUUCCUUAAGAAGCUGUAGGACAAGAGGGUCCUGAGUGGAGUCAUGUACCAAUGGAGCUUUCUUUCGUAAAUCUCCAUCUCUUCUUGGAAGUAGGAAGGUUUGAUCAAGAGCAUGUUUGUCGAAACAUCUCUGAGUCCCCUAUACCUUUGUGUUUCUCUAGGACUUGUUGCCCCUUCCCCAAAUUGGUAGCCAACCUGGGAUGUGGGAGGGGACCGAGUUUUUCAUAAACCCUUGGGUCAUUAAUCUUCGAGCUUAUGUGGAAGGGAUUCUCUUGACGUUACUUUAGGAAGUCUCGGCAGUCACGAUAAACGGCUUUCGAUCCUUCCAACCUUUUUACAAUAAGGUGUCUUCCUCCACUUCUCCUGCUUCGGGUCGAAGCAGCUGGGUUGAGAGAAGUCUCAUGUUGAUCAAUGUUUUGAUGAUUAGCUCGCUCCUCAUCAGGGAUACCCAUGUCGAAUGAAGGUGACCCUUCUUAUUGGGAGGCAUCCAGAUGAUGGUUGACGUCCACAAGGGUAAUGAGUUCGUGUGUUUGAGUACGCCUAGUUUCGUGGAACAUCUCAAAGAGUUUCUCAUACUGCUCCUGGAGGACCUCAUUCUUCAUUGAUAUCUGGUUGUUUUGAGAUUCUAGCUCAUCGACUUUAGCUUGAAGAGCAACCCUCUUUCCUUCCUUCUUUCAUUGCUUCGCACUAGGUGCAAGAGGGGUGUCAUUCUGUGUGCUGUGGCUUCCUUCGCUCCCCAUGUUGGAGAGGGAUGCCUGGUCAAAAGAGAGUGUACGAAUGGUGGAAACCAGCUUAACAAAGCUUAAGAGAGUGAGAAUAAGUGUCGUUCCCACAGACGGCGCCAAAUGUUGAUGCACAAAAUCAGUGAGGACUUUGGUACAACAGAAAGUGUUAAGUUUGUGACCUUCGCUAGAUUGCUCCGGUCACUAGUAUGGAUAAGUAUGUAAAUGGAUAGAGAUAGGGAAGCAAACACAAGAUGUACGUGGUUCACCCAGAUUGGCUACGUCCACGGAGUAGAGGAGUUCUCAUUAAUUGUGAAGGGUUUACACAAGUACAUAGGUUCAAGCUCUCCUUUAGUGAGUACAAGUAAAUGAUUUAGUACAAAUGACAUUAGGAAAUAUUGUGAGAGAAUGAUCUCUAUUUAUAGAAUAGAGUUUCUAGUUUCAUUCUGACAUUGACACGUGUCGUGUGUUGUGAUUGGCUUCUGAUGUUGACACGUGUCGCGCUAUGAUUGGCUUCCUGAUUUGAGGGAAACUCUUCUGGGUCCUUGAUGGUAUAACGUUGACCGGUGCUCAGUAGUUUCGGGAUUGGUCAAGUAUGGUACAAACAUACCUGAUUCAGAUGUAUUGGAAGGUGAAAAGUUGGUGGAACUUGCGUGACGAAUAUUUGUCGUGCAAAAGUAACAUUUCGUCGCGCAAGUUUUUCCCGCCAAAUUAAAUUACCCACGUUUUCUUGCUGACUUUAAGCGACGACAAAAAAAUAUUCGUCGCACAAGAAUACUUAGCACGACGAAAUUUUCAUCGCGCAAGUUUAAUUUAUUUCUUUUCUCUAUUUUUUUUAUUUUGCGUGACGAAAUUUUUUUUUGUCGCGCAAGUGCGUCUUGUGCGACGAAUUUUUAAGUCAUCAAAUUCAAACCCUUGAUGUGCCACCUAAUUAAGAUGGUAUAUAUGCAUGUGCUGGGUUGAGGUCAGUUUAAGUUUACUUAGUUUUCCAAGAUGGUCUUUAUUUGUCAACAUUGUCAUUAAAUAUUUGCAAGCAAAAGCCAUAUAUUAUAUAUGUGGGGGCAAGCAAUGUCAACUAUAUAUAUGAUGAUUUAGUCGAAUAGUUGCCUGUAUUUGCUUAGUUCUUGGACAUAUAUAUCCUUUAUUCGUUCAAUUUUGACGGGACGAACUGGAAUAUAUAUAGUUGAUGAUUUGAUGGAAAAUACCUUAAACAUACAUAUGUGCAUGCAAUCUGUCACUCAUGCAGGGCAGGUGAGAGAAUAGAGUUUGUUGCUUGAGUUCUUCCAAACUAUACCAGCGAGCAGCUUGGGACCAAAGAUAGAGUGUUAAACGAACAAAGGUCACAAAAACUAUGAGAGAGAGCAUUGGAUGUGCUAUAAACCCUAACAAGUAACAACCACCCCAUAAGAUUGGUUGAAUAUUGGAUAUGAAUAUUUGAAGGUAAAGGAUCCCAUCCAAGAUCGACCAAUUGUGGACCUGAAAAAAUCCCAUCUUUCGAAAAUAAGUGAUUGAAAUGCAAUCUGUCGACACGAAUAUUAUUGAAGGUGGGUGUAAUAAUUGUAAAUGGAAGAAAGUGUUGCUUUAAUUAGUCAUUAGGUGUAACUAAACGCACAUGCGUGGUUCCAUGCAAGUAUCACUCAAAAAAUUAAUUUCAUUUGUGGGGAUGAUUCUUUAUUAAUGUCGAUUGAUUUGGUAGUAAGACAAGCAUUUCAAGAUGGAGAACAAGGCCAUGAGAUGCUUAAAUCCACAUAUAUAUGUGCUAAGUGUGUACCACGUACGUACUCCAACAAAAGUGAUCAAUAAAAAUUGGUCUCCACUGGAAAUGGUUUUCCCCCGAAUCAAACAUAAAUUAAAAAAAUAGAAAUCGAUUUUACUAGAUAGACUAUUCUAUAUCAUAGCGUUAUUUUUUCCAGAAUCACAUGUUUGAGUGAUGAGAAACUCUGAGUAGUGUAGCAGUACCGGGCGAAUAGUUCAUUCAAGUAGGGUUUACAAAUGAAUUGUUAAUUUGAUGAAUCUUUGAUGUAAAUUAUAUAUAUGUAAGAGUUCUAGUGAACUAUGUUUUAUUUCUAUACCUAUGGUACUACUAUUGUUACACGUCAUCAUGUUGACUAUGAGCGUAUCUCGAUAUCAGGACAUUUGUUCUGAACAUUAUUACAUAAGAAUCAUAAAAACUGAAAAUAAAAAAGGAAACAAGUUUGUUAUCUCAAGAAAUAACAUUGUUAGAUAAAGAAACACUUGAAAGAAUGCUCAAGGUCUUCUCUGAAAAUGAAGCAAUAUAUCCUUUCUCUAGAGACUGAUACAAGCUAACCCAUGUUAAAAAACGCAACCCCAUAUAUAAAAAGAAUACAUAAAGGAAUCCUAGACAUGAUCCUAGCUAACUUAAGAACGUACCUAAAAGGUUUGUUUGAGGGAAAAGCGGAUCACUCUUCAAAAUAAAAUCUUCUUUUUUAAUAAGCCAACUUUUUUUCCGGAUAAGUAAUGCGUAAUAACUAAGAUCCUUUUCUUUUUCCUCAGUUAGCUAUCAAACCUAGAGCUUGCAACAGAAGAAACUAAGAGCUAAUUGAUAUAGAAAGGAGGGUUUGUUGUAGACUUGUAGCAACUUUAAUGAACAAGCUGUGUGGUUCAAGAAGAAACAACUCCUAUUGGCUAAUUAAGUGACAGUUGAUUAAAAUUAUAUCACUAAUCACAUGGGGUUUGGUCAACGAAAUAUAACUAAUUUAUAUUGAUUAACAGUAACAGUUGAUUUUCUUCCUAUGAAACUUGGUAGGUAUUCUUUUAAUUAAUAUUGAUAAAUGAUUUCCUUUCUGUAUAAUUUGGCAGGUAUGAUUUUGGACGAAUAUAAUAGGGAUUUGGCUUAAUCAUACAGAUGCGAGAUUGACAAUCAUCCCUUUAAAUAUUUUAUAUAUUUGGAAAGUUUUUAACCCACACGCAUGUGAGUAGACCUUUCAAAUAAUUCGUGCGGCUUACGGCAAGGGUUAAGGCCGAAAGGUGCCUCAUCUGGCGCCAUAUGUAAUGCCUUUGAAUGCAUGCAAUUAUUUGUUUACGUUUAAUUUCUCUGCACUACUAUUAUUGGAUCGAUCAAGCAGAAGAACCUUCGUGGCUCAUGACUUAUAACUAAAAAAAAAAAAAAAGCAUUAUUGCAUCUUUACCCAAUUCUGCCGAACUACAGGGGUACACAGCAUGCACAAGUUCUAUGCCAAUAAGAUAAAACAUGAAAUUUAAGAAGUACAUCGCACAUCGGUGCAAUUUAUUGACGAGGUAUGGCAGGUUGUCAUCCAUAUGGGUGACCUAAACCCUAGGGAUGGCAAAGGAAUGGGUUACGAAUCUUCGGAUCAAUUACAAGUGACAGGAGUUUUGCAUUAGAGCCCUUGAACCGUUCCCCUUUUUUUUCUGUUUUGAGCAAAGGUUGCAAAUAAGAGCAAACCCAAAAGAAGGAACAAGGGAAAAAGUAGGCUAGUGGAUAGGAUAUGGAUUACUCUUACUUUGGAUAUAUACAAGGCAAUUGGAUAGUGCCUUUAGGAAGAUUUGAUAGAAAUUUAAGCGGGGGGAAAUGAAUCACCCUUAUCUAAUAAAUUUGGUUUGGCAAGGGAAUCAGGUCCUCAUCGAAUAUUGGCCAUAUUUCAAGGGUGAAUAACAAACGUCUCUACAACUACCAAAUGCCUCAAUGCAAGAAACAUAGAAAACUCGAUAACUCAAACGAUCACAAGCUCUAGAAACUGUGAAAUCCCAAAUUAAUGAUUUACUUGAUCUUGCUAAACAUAUCAAACUGGGCGGUAAGAGACAAUAGGACCCCCAAUCGGUUGACAUUAAAGCUAGACUACAAAAGCAAAUCCAAUAUACAUACCAAAGUAACUAUUCUAUUUUUACUAGUACAAUUUUGGUCGUUAACGACAUUAUGCAGAGGACGGUUGUUGAUAAAACUUCGUUUCGGUUUUUCGAGAUGACAUAUUAGGCCUAAAAAUGUCGUUCAAUGAGGUGCAAAAGGAGUGGAAGAUAGAUUUCCUAUAGACUUCCUUGUAGUUUUGGUUCUCCAGACGAUGGUUUUAUGGCACUGUCGAAUGCCGAUAUGUGACAAAGGCAAAAAAGUUGAAAAACAGGGAGGGGCUCCGUGUAUUGUUCACAUUUAAAUGAGCUCCCCACCUCAAUUUUUUUUUACGAGUAAAGUCUUUCUCCUUUUUCAGUUUAUCAGACACAUGCAACCAAAAAUCUCCAAUCUACUAAUUGUAGAUCAAACGCCACAAACCAAGUCUCACCUUCUCGAUGUUAUUCUCGAAGAUUUCCAUACUACCCAGUGCUACUUUAUCAAUACCAGACGAUAGUUUAAAAGUAUCAUGUAAGACCUUUUUUGUACUAUUGUUUUAGUACUUAUCUCACAUUUGAGGAUUAUGAUAUCACCCUUCUAGAUUUAAGGAGUUUUAUAUUUAUACCAAUUAGAUAUUGGUUUAAUAGUACUUCUCUUUUCAAUAUUAAAACAGUCUGCAAUUUGAAUCAUCGUAAACCAUUGAUAAAAAUAAAAAUAAAGAAUUUAUAUUUAUUAAAAUAUUGUGGAGUUGUUUCAAUAUAUUUAGGCGUCAAACACAAAUUUCUAGAUUUAAGUUUAUUAACUAGACAAGGAAGAACAUAAGCUAGUAGUUGUAACCUUACAAUCUAGUUUAUGUGAAAACAAGUGUUGUGAAAGUCGUUUCGUACUUGUCAAGCAAGGUUUAUAUUAUAGCGUGUUUGAUUAAUUUGUAAUCCUUUUAUCAUUCUAACUAAUGAUAUCUGAACCCUCGUUUCAUGCUCAAUUCAUAUAUGUUUAUAUUCAUUUUAUUGUUCAGAGACACUCAAUUGAAUUAACAUAUGAAUUACAAUGAUUAUGCCUUCGCUAUUGAAGUCAGGACCACCACGUAAAACGUAAAUUAACAUAAAUAUAUUUAAUAUUUUGGAGUAGCAAUUGUUAUGGUUUGUAUUUUGGUGUAAAUUGUAAUGGGAAUGUAACGAUUUAACAGCAUGUCUUACUUUAUCUUACUUUAUCUUACUUUCUUGUUUGUACACGUUCUUUGAACAGCUUACACACAAAAAAAAAACUUAUUUGCUCGAAAUAACAGAAAAUUAAUAGUACAAAUAACAAUUCACGAGUUAAAUAUAUUCUAUGAGACUAAUAGCUUUAGUGAUUAAAAACAAUUUAUUCAUGCAUAUGAGGUUGAGUCACUUUUUCCUAAUAUGUUGUUGUCUGGGUAUGAAAUAGUAGCUUGGGACGAGAAUGGGUUAAACCAAACUGAAAAACCACAAUACUCAUACCAGUAGGCUUUUAGCCCAAGAAAGGGUUGAUUCGACCGAGACUUGUAUGAGGAUUAAGAUCAUAUGUGCUUCAAUCGAGUCUUAGGCAAAUUGAAAUUGCUAAGGAUCAUAAUAAAGCAAUGAUUAGAUGCGAAUUAUCCCAAGGAUUAGAAUCCAUUCUUGAUCAGAUAAGAAUGAAUUACUCACAUAAUGGGGUCAAGAUAAUCCUAGUUGGAAUAAAAAUAAAAAUAAAAAGCCGAGACUGAAUGAAGAAGAAGUCUUGGCUAAGAGGGAAAUUAAAGAGAUAAGGGAAUAUCCAAGUAAAUGCCGAGAAAACACAGUCUUAUCAGGACUUUACUGUGAUAGACUUGUUUAUCAUGAAGGUUAUCCCUAUAAAUAGGAGAGGUUCUGAGAUGUGAAAACCCCUUUCAACACAACAAACAACUCAAACGCUUUAAGAAAAAUACUAUCCAUUCUAAACCUCUGGUCAACACACCUUCAGUUUGGAUUAGCAGCACUUUAUUGGCAACUGGCAACAUCUUCAGUUUGGAUCAACCGCACUAAAGAAUCAAGCAAUUUAGGAGCAUCUUCAAUUUGGAUUAACAUCAUUGCUUCUGGUUGGUUGGAUAUCUAUCUAAGUCUCAGCCAAUGAAGAAUUAUUAAUUCUUUCACCCAAAGAGGUCACUUCAUUAGCUUCCCAACAAAGUGAAGUGUUCUAUGAUUGGUUACUCUCAGGUGCAUUUUGCAGUUCGGCAUUUAGACGACCAAACCACAUUCACCAUAAGAGCACUCAUCUUCUUUGAGUACUUGUGUCCCUACAGCCUAAUACAGAUUUGGCAUGCCUAUAUUCUUACGAAUAUAGCUAAUGCAACCGACCAUGGUGUAGGAGAUCCUGAACUUUGCAAUGAACUAGGCAACCUUGUUUUCAGGUUCUCGAACCCCAGGCAGAGAGGUGUUCCUUCCUCGGCCAUAGUCGCUCAAGUGCGGAAGUCAGUAGCAUUCAACACCACCACCACCACAUCUAUUCUACUCGCCCUACCAAGCUCGCUUGCGAGUUGGCACGCUUGCAUUCACAAGAAUGACGUAGUUAACUCAUAGUUACUCGACCUGCGAGCCUCGUAAACUUUGUAAUUUUUAGGAUCAACAAUUGUAUAAAAUGAGAGAAGUAAUUUUCACACACCAAUAGCUUCAUGCACACUCAUCCUUUAUUUCCAACCGUCAAAAUAAAUAAUUAAACCAAAACAACAUAGAAGAUUAAACAUGUGUGAGGCUAAAAAUUUGCAUUUAUUACUCUGAUUGGAUAAGGAAAUGUAAGAUAAAUAAGGAAUUCCAAAAUGACAUAAAUAGAAAUGACGGAAUUUUUUUUCUUCUAGAAUUUAUGAAUUUUCUUGUUUGUUAACCUAUUAAAACAAUGGUUGAAUACGGAAUUUAAUGUGUGUACAGAGUCCUUAAUAUAUAAAUGAGAGAUAGUAGUUAGAAAAUGUGCUUGCAGGUGGUGUGGUGGUGGCAACGAUGAUGAUGGUUGGUGGUGGUGGCGAUAAUGAUGGUAAUGGGUAGUGGCAGGGACCAUAACAGUAUAUGGUGGCGACGAUAGUCGUGAUGGUGAUGAUAAUGGUGGGUGGGUGGGGGCGGUGGUGGUGGUGGUGAUGUGUAAUAGUGGUGGCAACUCAUGGUUAAGUUUUUUUGUAUUUUUUAGUUUUAAACCGUUAUUCAUAGAAAUUUAGAAAUAACACAUAUUUACAUAUAAUUUAAACAUGAGAAUAGGAGGGUCCCAAAUUUUAUAGUUUUUUUCUCACGCGAAAAUUCUAAAUUUUUUUGUUUAUAAAUCCAAACAAAAAAAUUGAUGCAUAUAAAUUUAUAAAUUAUGUAUUUUGUCCAAAUUGUAAGUUUGUUUCCCUUGUGCAAUUGCAACCAUAGUGUAAAAGAAAGCUUGGCUUGACGUUGUUAUUAAAGGUGCCUGAACGACGACAUUAUUGUUGCUGUCGUUUGAUUGAAGCAACGGACGACAUCAUCACCUUCAAAGCAUUCUUAAACCCUCUACUUGAAAAUCCGAACCACGGCUAUGGAAACCAUCCAUCGAUUCUCGCUUCGUCUCGGCCCGAUUUGUCUAGCUACCGCCCCGAUAUUUCUGAACUCCCGAAUCAUCUCUUUGAAUCCCGGACUUCCAAACCCGGAUCCAGUCUUCAACACCCAUUUCACGAUCCGGAAAAAGUUCAGCUCAACCUCUUCUCCCGUCGCCAAAGCCGGUUGGCUUCUGGGUCUCGGAGGAGAGAAGAAGAAGAAGAGCAUCAGCAUGCCCGAUAUAGUGAAAGCAGGUGACCCGGUUUUGCACGAACCGGCCCGAGAUGUUGAGCCCGGGGAUAUUGGGUCGGAGAGGAUCCAGAAGAUAAUUGAUGAUAUGGUGAGGGUGAUGCGGAAGGCUCCUGGGGUCGGUCUUGCCGCUCCUCAGAUUGGAAUUCCCUUGAGGGUCAGUUUUGGUAUUUUAUCUUAAAGGCUCAAGUUAAUCACUGACUAUUUAUUAAACGGUACACUAGUAAUAUCACUGUUUCCUAAAUUAAACACUUAUUAUUUCUCAAACGGAACACUAAUACUAUCACUAUUUCUUAACUGAACAUUGACUACUUCUUAAAAUGAACAUUAUUUCUCAAAUUAAACACUGACUAUAUCUUAAACCGAACAUUAGUACAUCACUAUUUUAUAAAUUGAACAUAAGUACUGUCACUAUUUCGUAAACUAAACACUGACUAUUUCUUAAACGGAACACUAGUACUAUCACUGUUUUGUAAACUAAACACUGACUAUUUCUUAAAUGGAACACUAGUACUAUCAUUGUUUCAUAAACUAAACACUGACUAUUUAUUAAACGGAACACUAGUACUAUCAUUGUUUUGUAAACUAAACACUGAUUAUUUCUCAAACGGAAUACUAAUACUAUCACUUGUUCGUAAAUUAAACAUUGACUAUUUUUAAAAUCGAACACUAAUACUAUCACUAUUUCGUAACUAGAACUAUCAUAUUCGUGUUUGUUAUUUGACAUUGACUUUCCUUUAAUUUUUUUUUUCCACACAAACUGAGCUUCUCUCUUCAUUUACGCAUACAAAAAUACCCACAUCAGUUUUGGUCGCCCACAACCCAGACCAAAUUGAACCUAGCCCACCCCUUGUAAACCCACCGAGAUGCGAGUUUGAGAGAGUCACAAGAACAACUUUAGCAGAAUUUGUUAAGAGUUUUACAUGCUGACAUUGUAACCCACAUCAAUUUUAGUGCAUUGAGUGCCCUUUAACUCCACAUCACCUUGCCAGUGAAUCAGUUUCUGUUGCCAUUGCGAAUCUAUCGGCGGAGCCCCAAAUCACCCACUUUGACAAAUCCAGUUCCACCGAAUCAACCUCCCUCCCUCCAAAUUGAAAUACAAACCCUCUUAUGUGAUGACUCACCAACCUCGGAGUAAUCAAAUUUAACACCCCCGUUGACCUCAAGAAAUGAUUCAGGAUUUGGAAGCAAACGAGAAGCAAUCCGGGAUUAGAAAAUCAAAUCACAGAUGAACAAAACCCAUAAUUUAUCUGUGUUCUUCUCUCUCUCCUCUCUUUAUUUGCGCACUAAAUCAGUUUCCCAUCAUCAACUUGAAAAAUCGAAGUGGAGUUGCAGAUAGAAAGUUAGAGAGAGAAAGUGAGAAAGAGAGUGGGGGAGCGCGAGAGGGAGCUCAUGGGAUUUAUGGGUUGUUGGGGGUGAAUAUAAAGAAUCGUGACUUUUUCAGCUCUCUGACAAGGGCAAAAGUAAACUGACGGAAUAAAACGAAACUGACUUAACCUAAAACGUUAGGGGCAAAAUCGACAAGUAAUGGUAUUAUUUUGGUUGGGCCAUUGUAGUUGGACUGCUUUAGUAUUAAGCUUUGUACUAACCAUUAAAUAAAGUUGUAACAUGUUUUUUGGUUAAAAUCCAAAGUUUUCAAGCCUUUUUCAUUAGUUUUCCUUUUAAACUAUCAUUCAUAGAAAUUUAAAAAUGACACAUAUUUACAUAGAAUUUAAACAUGAGAAUAGGAGGUCCCAAAUUUUAUAGGUUUUUUCUCACGCGAAAAUUCUAAAUUUUUUUUUUAUAAAUUCAAACAAAAAAAAAUUGAUGCAUAUCAAUUUAUAAACCAAAUUGUAAGUUUGUUUCCCUUGUGCAAUUGCAACCAUAGUGUAAAAGAAAGCUUGGCUUGACGUUGUUAUUAAGGUGCCUGAACGACGACAUUAUUGUUGCUGUCGUUUGAUUGAAGCAGCGGACGACAUCAUCACCUGCAAAGCAUUCUUAAACCCUCUACUUGAAAAUCCGAACCACGGCUAUGGAAACCAUCCACCGAUUCUCGCUUCGUCUCGGCCCGAUUUGUCUAGCUACCGCCCCGAUAUUUCUGAACUCCCGAAUCAUCUCUCUUUGAAUCCCGGACUUCCAAACCCGGAUCCAGUCUCCAACACCCAUUUCACGAUCCGGAAAAAGUUCAGCUCAACCUCUUCUCCCGUCGCCAAAGCCGGUUGGCUUCUGGGUCUCGGAGGAGAGAAGAAGAAGAGCAUCAGCAUGCCCGAUAUAGUGAAAGCAGGUGACCCGGUUUUGCACGAACCGGCCCGAGAUGUUGAGCCCGGGGAUAUUGGGUCGGAGAGGAUCCAGAAGAUAAUUGAGGAUAUGGUGAGGGUGAUGCGGAAGGCUCCCGGGGUCGGUCUUGCUGCUCCUCAGAUUGGAAUUCCCUUGAGGGUCAGUUUUGGUGUUUUAUCUUAAAGGCUCUAUUUUUUUUUUUUUUUUUUUUUUUUUUUUUUUUUUUUUUUUUUUUUGUUCUUCUGUUUCAUUAAUUUCUGUUUGGCUGCUGAGAAAAUGUGGAAAGAAAUGUAAAAUGUAGCUUUCUUUUUCACCCUGCGUUGGUUCUUGCGAGUAAAAUUUUUAGACAAGCGAUAGUCUGCACUAAAUUCGUUCUAAACUACGGGGAGGGGGAUUCGAACUUGAGGACAGGGACGGGGAUUCGAACUUGGCUAAGCCCAUGUCUGCAGAUAGAUAGACCUUUUAAUGGUAAAUAAUCAAAGCUUAGUUCAAUUUAAGCUACAUUGCUGAUUUUAGUGAUGUUCCUUUUUUUAUUACGGUUACAAAAAUUGAUACUUUCUUUUUAUUUUGGUGGAAUGUAUAGCUUAACUAACCAGUUUUAAAUUUUCGUUGAAGAUUAAACUUUCGUUAUUCAUGAAAACCUAGCAUUCCGUAAAACGAAGGUAACAACUCUGUCUUGUCAUCCGUGCAGAUAAUAGUUUUGGAAGAUACAAAGGAAUAUAUCAGUUAUGCACCUAAGGAAGCCACUGCAGCUCAAGAUAGACGACCUUUUGAUCUUUUGGUAUGUUAAGUAUCUGUGAGAGAGGUGAACAUCCGAAUGACGUAUUGAAUCUUAAGAUUGAAAAUGUUACACUUGACUAUUCCAAUUUAUUUGUUAUUUUUGAGGCAGGUGAUUCUUAAUCCGAAGCUUAAAAAGAAGAGCAACAAGACUGCAGUAUUCUUUGAAGGGUGCUUAAGGUAACGGAUACAAUGUUUUUCUAUUUUAGCUAGAAAUGAGAGAAAUCUAUGGUUGAGGUCGGAAGAAAUAGUAAAUGAACCAUCCCCAUCAGAGACGACACAGAAUUUUCCUUAAUGCCCUGUUCUUCUCGUAAAUGGAUAGUUGAGAACAAUAGCUUUGUUGGGGGUUUGGAUGUUACAGAGGCGUGGCAGUGAUUCAAGUUACAUAAGUUUCUUUAUCAUUCUCAACAUUUGUAUCUACAGUGUUCUUGUUAGGAAUUUUCAACACCUAUUCUCUGCAAAACUAUACAGAAUUGGUUCCAUAUGGUUACUGAAUGCUCCCUUGUUUUGCGAGAUAUGAUCAUAUGAUAUGAAUAAAGUUUAUGUUCUAUACCAUCACCUUGGAUGCCACUGAACUACCACACGGUGAAUUUUGAACCUGUCUCAAUGCUAAACCGGGACUUAGUCAUAGGGCAUGUGAAACUAUAGUUGACAACCUCGGGUGUUUGUAGUAUUCGAGUCCCUCAAUUAGAGAAUUCCAUCUCAGUUAACAAAUUGAUAGGAAACAUGACGCUACUGCAUUAUAAGUGUUCCUCAUUUGUAAAUAGUUUUCAUCUCUAAGGUUGAAAUUUUUAUAGUCAAUCUUAAUUGAGACUGUGAAAGCGAACAUAGGAUUUCAUCAUGGACCCUUGUUUAUUUUGCUUGUGUUGGGUGCUCGACUUACUCGAGUUCACACCUUUCUAAUAUUGUGUUUUUAGAAUUUUUUUUUAACUCAAGUUACUAUGUCCAUGGAAACUAGAAUCGCCUACUGUCGAUAAUAUGUAAUUUUACUGUGAUAUUUUGCAGUGUCGAUGGAUUCAGAGCAGUGGUGGAGCGAAACCUUGAUGUUGAGGUUUCAGGUUUUGANNNNNNNNNNNNNNNNNNNNNNNNNNNNNNNNNNNNNNNNNNNNNNNNNNNNNNNNNNNNNNNNNNNNNNNNNNNNNNNNNNNNNNNNNNNNNNNNNNNNNNNNNNNNNNNNNNNNNNNNNNNNNNNNNNNNNNNNNNNNNNNNNNNNNNNNNNNNNNNNNNNNNNNNNNNNNNNNNNNNNNNNNNNNNNNNNNNNNNNNNNNNNNNNNNNNNNNNNNNNNNNNNNNNNNNNNNNNNNNNNNNNNNNNNNNNNNNNNNNNNNNNNNNNNNNNNNNNNNNNNNNNNNNNNNNNNNNNNNNNNNNNNNNNNNNNNNNNNNNNNNNNNNNNNNNNNNNNNNNNNNNNNNNNNNNNNNNNNNNNNNNNNNNNNNNNNNNNNNNNNNNNNNNNNNNNNNNNNNNNNNNNNNNNNNNNNNNNNNNNNNNNNNNNNNNNNNNNNNNNNNNNNNNNNNNNNNNNNNNNNNNNNNNNNNNNNNNNNNNNNNNNNNNNNNNNNNNNNNNNUGUUCGGCGAACAUUAAAUUGACCAAUCUCUGAUAAGUCGCUCCUGCAUUCUUUAGGCCGAAGGGUAUAAACUUUAUAGCAAUAUAGUCCCUUGUCAGUAGUGAAGGCUAUGUGUUCUUGGUCUGGAGGGUUCAUGAGGAUUUGGUUUGAAUCCUGAGUAAGCAUUUAUAAAGCUCAGGAGUUUCACACCCUGCCGUAGAGUCUAUAAGUUUGUCUAUGAAAGGAAGAGGAAAGCUAUCCUUCGGGCAUCCUUUGUUUAGGUCGGUGUAAUCGACACACAUUCUCCACAAGACCUUUUUGGAGCAGGAGACUUUCCUUGGUCGGAUUCUUCUUAACAAGGACAACAUUUGCUAACCACGUUGGAUAAUUGACUUCGCGAACGAAGCAUAUGCCUUUGAGUUUUUCAACUUCUGCCUUCAUUACCUCGUACCGUUCAGCGUCAUAAAAUCUUUUCUUCUGUCUCACUAGCUUGGUCUUGGGGUCAAUACUUAAGCGAUUGACAGAUUAUAUCGGGAGAAAUGCCUGGCAUGUCCUCGUAUGACCAGGCGAAGACCUCAGUGUUCUCUUGCAAAAAAGAUAUCAAUGCCAACCGAAUGGGUGGUGACAAAGUGGUACCAAUCUUCACCAUGCAAUCUGGAUAAUCUUUUUGAGAUAGAGACAUUCUUUAACUUUUCGGCAGGUUGUGCUUGCUGGGUGAAAGAAUCAUCUCGAGGAUCGUCGGGUUGACUGUUGCCACCGUGAAGAUCCAAGUUAGCUUUGUCUGGGCUGGUCUUUAUGACUUAGUCAUGUAUAGAAAAGGUUUCCUUGGGCACAGGCAGGUGUUGUUGCUUGACCGAAGUGUUGUGUAACAUGAUCGUGCACUAAGUUGAUCUUCUCUGAUGUAACCAUUGCUAUAGGGGGUUGGAAAUUUCAUCAACAACAUAUGUGUGAUACCAUGGCCUUAAGAUCAUUGAUGCCUGUGCGUCCGAAGAUGACAUUGUAUGCCGUUGAGCAAUCAACCACCAGGAAGUCAGUGGUAAUGGUAGCUGUGUAAGGGCAUGUACCAAUGGUGAAAGGUAAAUGUAUGCUCCCCAGAGGUUGCACGAUAUCACCGGAGAAGCUUAUCAAAGGGGAAAUUAAGUGAUCGAGCAAGUGUUCAGCUACAUUAAGUGCCCUGAAAGCUUCAGCAAACAUGAUAUUGAUCGAAGCCCCUAUGUCUACCAGGAUUCGUCGUACUUCAAAGUUGGCUAUAUGAGCUUCCACGAUCAGUAGGUCGUUGUGAGGGUAGAUGAUACAUCUUUCUUCCUCAGGGUAGAAACAUAUUGGAUCCCAAUUAGGCUUUUGAUACUUACCUCCCCUGAUGUCUUCCAUAUGAAACACUUGGUGGCCCGACCUUAAAGCUCAUUCACUAUUUUUCAUAGUCCUGUUGGAAGAUUUAGAUAUGGGUGUGCCACCACUUAUGGAAUAUAUCACAUUCACCUGGUAUUGGUUACGGUUACCCCUUGGAGAGUCAAGGAGGAAUUGAUCAAUUUUUCCUUCACGUGCCAAAGCUUUAAUAUGAUCACGAAGGGUGAUACACUUCUCGCCGUCAUGGCCGUUAUGCUCGUGGUAGCAGCAAAAUAUGCCCUUGUUCUUCAUGGGCUUGUAAUUCGGGUGCCUCGGUUUUGGCUUUGGUAUCAAGUGUGCUAUGCUGGGGUAAAUGGCUACGCAUGUGGUGUUCAAAGGUGUGUAUGCCUUAUACCUCGGGGUAGGGGCUGUCCUGACACGUGCUUGACCCACUGUGUUGACUGCCUGGGGUCAGGGAUUAUCGUGGUGAUACCCUUGGUUAUCGCGGUAGUGUUCCUUACUCCUUUUACUAAAAUGAGACUGGAGAGGAUAGAAAUCUUUCCUUUUGCCCUGAGAUUGAUAUGUUUGUUGACUUGGCAAAGUAUUAAGUAAGGAAGGGGGAGGCACCACUGCCGUUUGGAAGGUCGAGGUCUUCUCAUUUGGUUGGAUCUGGGUUCCACUCCCUACUUGCUGAUAAGGGGUGGCUGUGGGGGGUUUCCCUUGAUAUAUCUUUGCCUCGGCGGAGGCAUGGUUGUAAGCCUGUGCCAUCACCUCAGAGUAAGUUUUCCAAGUGUUGGCAUUGAUCAUGUACUUGAAGAAACAAUCACGUAGGCCUACCAUGAAGGCCUUGAGGGCGAUCUUGUCAUCUACCUCAGCGCAGCGAGAAUACUCAUGGCUGAAGCGACCGGCAUACUCUCGUAGUGACUCAUCCGGCUUCUGGCGAAUAGUGUACAAGUCAUCUGCAGAAUGCAAGCGAUCGGUCUGGAAAAUGUGUUGAAAAACAAACAGUUUCCUCAAUUCCUCAAAUGAGUCUACCGUCUCAGGUGGAAGACGGCAAUACUAGUUUAGAGCUCCGCCAGAGAGGGUGGAGGGGAAGAGAAGACAUCGCUUUUCGCCGUGUGUAUCCGGUAUGCUAUGGUGGACUCAAAGAGGUUAAAAGUGUUCAAUCGGGUCCUCUUUUCCAGUAUAGAGUUGCAAGCCAAGCUUCUGUUUUGUCUUUGCUUGGAGGGGGGUGUCGAGGAUCCUCCUUGUAAGAGGGCCAGGCCUACGUUGGUUCCAAUCAGGUAUCUCAGCUUGUCGUUCGACCUUCAACUUGUUUACUUCCUUAAGAAGCUGUAGGACAAGAGGGUCCUGAGUGGAGUCAUGUACCAAUGGAGCUUUCUUUCGUAAAUCUCCAUCUCUUCUUGGAAGUAGGAAGGUUUGAUCAAGAGCAUGUUUGUCGAAACAUCUCUGAGUCCCCCUAUACCUUUGUGUUUCUCUAGGACUUGUUGCCCCUUCCCCAAAUUUGGUAGCCAACCUGGGAUGUGGGAGGGGACCGAGUUUUUCAUAAAAACCCUUGGGUCAUUAAUCUUCGAGCUUAUGUGGAAGGGAUUCUCUUGACGUUACUUUAGGAAGUCUCGGCAGUCACGAUAAACGGCUUUCGAUCCUUCCAACCUUUUUACAAUAAGGUGUCUUCCUCCACUUCUCCUGCUUCGGGUCGAAGCAGCUGGGUUGAGAGAAGUCUCAUGUUGAUCAAUGUUUUGAUGAUUAGCUCGCUCCUCAUCAGGGAUACCCAUGUCGAAUGAAGGUGACCCUUCUUAUUGGGAGGCAUCCAGAUGAUGGUUGACGUCCACAAGGGUAAUGAGUUCGUGUGUUUGAGUACGCCUAGUUUCGUGGAACAUCUCAAAGAGUUUCUCAUACUGCUCCUGGAGGACCUCAUUCUUCAUUGAUAUCUGGUUGUUUUUGAGAUUCUAGCUCAUCGACUUUAGCUUGAAGAGCAACCCUCUUUCCUUCCUUCUUUCAUUGCUUUCGCACUAGGUGCAAGAGGGGUGUCAUUCUGUGUGCUUGUGGCUUCCUUCGCUCCCCAUGUUGGAGAGGGAUGCCUGGUCAAAAGAGAGUGUACGAAUGGUGGAAACCAGCUUAACAAAGCUUAAAGAGAGUGAGAAUAAGUGUCGUUCCCACAGACGGCGCCAAAUGUUGAUGCACAAAAAUCAGUGAGGACUUUGGUACAACAGAAAGUGUUAAGUUUGUGACCUUCGCUAGAUUGCUCCGGUCACUAGUAUGGAUAAGUAUGUAAAUGGAUAGAGAUAGGGAAGCAAACACAAGAUGUACGUGGUUCACCCAGAUUGGCUACGUCCACGGAGUAGAGGAGUUCUCAUUAAUUGUGAAGGGUUUACACAAGUACAUAGGUUCAAGCUCUCCUUUAGUGAGUACAAGUAAAUGAUUUAGUACAAAUGACAUUAGGAAAUAUUGUGAGAGAAUGAUCUCUAUUUAUAGAAUAGAGUUUCUAGUUUCAUUCUGACAUUGACACGUGUCGUGUUGUGAUUGGCUUCUGAUGUUGACACGUGUCGCGCUAUGAUUGGCUUCCUGAUUUGAGGGAAACUCUUCUGGGUCCUUGAUGGUAUAACGUUGACCGGUGCUCAGUAGUUUCGGGAUUGGUCAAGUAUGGUACAAACAUACCUGAUUCAGAUGUAUUGGAAGGUGAAAAGUUGGUGGAACUUGCGUGACGAAUAUUUGUCGUGCAAAAGUAACAUUUCGUCGCGCAAGUUUUUCCCGCCAAAUUAAAUUACCCACGUUUUCUUGCUGACUUUAAGCGACGACAAAAAAUAUUCGUCGCACAAGAAUACUUAGCACGACGAAAUUUUCAUCGCGCAAGUUUAAUUUAUUUCUUUUCUCUAUUUUUUUUAUUUUGCGUGACGAAAUUUUUUUUGUCGCGCAAGUGCGUCUUGUGCGACGAAUUUUUAAGUCAUCAAAUUCAAACCCUUGAUGUGCCACCUAAUUAAGAUGGUAUAUAUGCAUGUGCUGGGUUGAGGUCAGUUUAAGUUUACUUAGUUUUCCAAGAUGGUCUUUAUUUGUCAACAUUGUCAUUAAAUAUUUGCAAGCAAAAGCCAUAUAUUAUAUAUGUGGGGGCAAGCAAUGUCAACUAUAUAUAUGAUGAUUUAGUCGAAUAGUUGCCUGUAUUUGCUUAGUUCUUGGACAUAUAUAUCCUUUAUUCGUUCAAUUUUGACGGGACGAACUGGAAUAUAUAUAGUUGAUGAUUUGAUGGAAAAUACCUUAAACAUACAUAUGUGCAUGCAAUCUGUCACUCAUGCAGGGCAGGUGAGAGAAUAGAGUUUGUUGCUUGAGUUCUUCCAAACUAUACCAGCGAGCAGCUUGGGACCAAAGAUAGAGUGUUAAACGAACAAAGGUCACAAAAACUAUGAGAGAGAGCAUUGGAUGUGCUAUAAAACCCUAACAAGUAACAAACCACCCCAUAAGAUUGGUUGAAUAUUGGAUAUGAAUAUUUGAAGGUAAAGGAUCCCAUCCAAGAUCGACCAAUUGUGGACCUGAAAAAAUCCCAUCUUUCGAAAAUAAGUGAUUGAAAUGCAAUCUGUCGACACGAAUAUUAUUGAAGGUGGGUGUAAUAAUUGUAAAUGGAAGAAAGUGUUGCUUUAAUUAGUCAUUAGGUGUAACUAAACGCACAUGCGUGGUUCCAUGCAAGUAUCACUCAAAAAAUUAAUUUCAUUUGUGGGGAUGAUUCUUUAUUAAUGUCGAUUGAUUUGGUAGUAAGACAAGCAUUUCAAGAUGGAGAACAAGGCCAUGAGAUGCUUAAAUCCACAUAUAUAUGUGCUAAGUGUGUACCACGUACGUACUCCAACAAAAGUGAUCAAUAAAAAUUGGUCUCCACUGGAAAUGGUUUUCCCCCGAAUCAAACAUAAAUUAAAAAAAUAGAAAUCGAUUUUACUAGAUAGACUAUUCUAUAUCAUAGCGUUAUUUUUCCAGAAUCACAUGUUUGAGUGAUGAGAAACUCUGAGUAGUGUAGCAGUACCGGGCGAAUAGUUCAUUCAAGUAGGGUUUACAAAUGAAUUGUUAAUUUGAUGAAUCUUUGAUGUAAAUUAUAUAUAUGUAAGAGUUCUAGUGAACUAUGUUUUAUUUCUAUACCUAUGGUACUACUAUUGUUACACGUCAUCAUGUUGACUAUGAGCGUAUCUCGAUAUCAGGACAUUUGUUCUGAACAUUAUUACAUAAGAAUCAUAAAAACUGAAAAUAAAAAAGGAAACAAGUUUGUUAUCUCAAGAAAUAACAUUGUUAGAUAAAGAAACACUUGAAAGAAUGCUCAAGGUCUUCUCUGAAAAUGAAGCAAUAUAUCCUUUCUCUAGAGACUGAUACAAGCUAACCCAUGUUAAAAAACGCAACCCCAUAUAUAAAAAGAAUACAUAAAGGAAUCCUAGACAUGAUCCUAGCUAACUUAAGAACGUACCUAAAAGGUUUGUUUGAGGGAAAAGCGGAUCACUCUUCAAAAUAAAAUCUUCUUUUUUAAUAAGCCAACUUUUUUUCCGGAUAAGUAAUGCGUAAUAACUAAGAUCCUUUUCUUUUUCCUCAGUUAGCUAUCAAACCUAGAGCUUGCAACAGAAGAAACUAAGAGCUAAUUGAUAUAGAAAGGAGGGUUUGUUGUAGACUUGUAGCAACUUUAAUGAACAAGCUGUGUGGUUCAAGAAGAAACGGGUAGGUUUGGCUUGUUUGGACUUGUUUGGGCUUGUUUGAUAAUGCAUGUGACGCAAAAGAAAAUACCUCCAUCACUACCUAAAUUUUCUAUAUACUCUCUAAGUAACACAUGUGCACAUGAAGGCCACCUCGUGCACCAAUUAACUUCAUUGGGGCCAUGCGAUAGGAGAUUGAAGAGGAAAGUGACCUAAUUAUAUGUUAACAAUUCAUAAAAAAAAGGUACAAAUUAUGAGUUUUCUUCAAGAAAUCUAAUCAGAAUCAAAACUAACUAAAAGUUUCUUGAUGAUUAGAUGUAUUAGGUUCAUAUCUAAUCCCAUUAUGCUCUUAUGAGAUACAAUAUACGGUGGUGCCCUCGUGGGAGUUAUGUUUUGUAUGUUUCAAUUAUUAGUUAAUUACAAAAUGCUUACUUUUGGAAGUACGAAUUUAAUUAGUUGCUAAAUAAAUAUACGUGCAAGGUUUAAUGACACACAAUCUUCAUCUCGUUGCCUGAAAAUAUCAUAAAUUCUGAGUUUCAUGGAUGAAACUUGAAUAAAAUUGUGAGUACUUUUUUGUUUUUUUUUUUUUUUUUUUUUGUGGACGGAUGAAAGUGUAUGUACCUGUGCCCAAACUUAAAGGUACAUAGCACAGCAAAGAGGACACGAACUUUAGCAAAUAUUCGCAAAUAAUGAAUAUAUUUUAGUAGAAAGACUUGAAAAGUAAUAUCGAAGAUAUUAAUAAUAAGAAUGUAGGAAAUAGAAAGACAAUGACAGUCACCAAAUUGCCUCACAUGAAGAAGGAAUCGACCAGUAUAAAGACUGGAGCUUGGUUUCUAUUGGGAGAGAUGGUGGAUAUGUUCUUGUUUAUUUUGAAAACUGACAAAAUGUGGUUAAAACAAUAGGGGCGUGGGCAUGACAUGAGGGCACGAUUACUGCUUAAAUAUUCACACGGUUUAAACAAGGUUCAUGUGCACGCCUAUUUUCAUUCGGUCCCAUGUCCCUCUACCUUUUAAUGUUUGGUAUUGUGUACAUCAAUAUAUAUGUUGUUUAAGGAAAAGUGUUAAUUGUUUUGUACCGAGUGCUAAGUCACCUUUUCAAUAUUUAAAUAUUUAAUGAUCGAUAAAGUAUCAGGUAUUGUAAAUCGAUAACAAUAUAUCGACUGAUCACUGAUGAUCUCAUAUUUUUAACAUAUAAAACUGAAAGUGUUAAAAAGUAUUAUGUGACGAAACAUGAAAAGUUUGCAUAUAUAGUAGUAGAAAAUUUUUUGUACCUAAGAGGCCACACAUGCUCUCCCCAUCACUUAAUUCAAAUUGUCUAAGUGUUUGACUCAAGUGAGGCCAAAUUAACACGUUAGGUGGAUCCUCCCCUAGAUGUUAUAGAAUCAUGAGAAAAAAUUAUGGUAACAUGAGUCAUUUGGUGUAUUAUACGCAUUGUGAUAAGGUUGGACGAUAUGAUUGAUAUGUAUCACUUGUAGAGCAUAUUAAUAUAACAAAAAUUAAAAACAAAAAUAAAUAAAUCCACAUAGUUGAUAGAAUAACAACUCCACGUAGCAGUAUUUUGGGUAUACCAAAAAAUUGAUGACAAAAGCAUUGCAUAAGAGCUUUUAAGUUUUUCUUUUCUUUCUAAUACAAACAAUAGACUAUAUCAUCUAAACUAGAAGGAAAAUGAUUUAAACUUCAAUGCAAAAGAAGAGUACAUGUACUCUAACCAACUUGACUAAGCCCAAAUCUGAAAUAAUUUUUAAGUUAAAAGUGCUCUCAUUCUAUCAAAAAGUUGUACCUUUAGAAAGACAACUAUAGGUAACUACCGGAAAGCAAAAGAAAACUUGGUAAAACCCCUACUGGCAGAACUACCAUAUAUCGAUCCUUAUAAAUACCUAGCAUCAAUAAUUUCCCAAGACAGUUGCCCCUCUUUCUCCGAUCACUCUCUAUCUCUCAUAACACAAGGAAUUAAGCAAGCAGCCUAGAACAAGUAAAAUAGAAACAAAGGCAAUGGUUGAAGCAGCAGAGCAAUCCCAAAAGUACCCGACAAUGGCAGAGGUACAAAAUCGCACAAACAUUCAAAGAAUCUUCUUCAUCGCAUAUUAUCAUAAAUUAAUUUCUAUUGAUUUUUUUAGUUCAUUUUAUGAACUUUUCGAAUCUUGAACAUGUUCUAGGUGGUGGAAGAACUUCACAGAAUGACACAUAUUGGCUUCCCAAUUGCGGCCAUAAAUUUAGCGGGUUACCUCAAAAACAUGGUCCUAGUUGUGUGCAUGGGAAGGCUUGGAAGUCUUGAGCUAGCAGGUGGGGCUUUAGCCAUUGGCUUCACCAACAUCACUGGCUACUCAGUCCUCUCUGGCUUGGCCAUGGGCAUGGAGCCUCUAUGCAGCCAAGCUUUUGGUUCACAAAACUUCUCCAUAGCUUUCCAUACUUUACAAAGAACUAUUCUCUUAUUGCUUCUCACUUCUCUUCUAAUUGCUUUGCUUUGGUCCAAUCUUGAACCUCUAUUGCUCCUUCUCCAUCAAAACCAAGAUAUAACAAGGAUUGCAAGCUUGUAUUGCCAAUUUGCCAUCCCCGAUCUUGUUACCAAUAGCUUUCUUCACCCCAUACGUAUUUUUUUACGUAGUCAAAGCACAACAUGGCCAUUGAUGUGGUCCACUUUACUAGCAAUCAUUCUACACAUUCCUCUCACAAUCUUCUUAACCUUCACUCUUACCCUUGGGGUCAAAGGAAUAGCAAUUUCCACUUCUCUUACCAAUUUCAUAACUCUAUUUUUUCUUGUGGGUUACAUGGUCUAUGACCAUAUCACGAGAAAGUCUUUUUAUUAUUUGGUUACGGACCGGUGUGAACCCACUACUAAGUAUGAUACAUCGCAAACAUUGUACCAACCCUUAUUACCUAAAAAAGUAGUACCACUUUCGUUGAGGAAAGUGCUAGGAGAUGACGAAUGGAGGAUGCUAAUUCGACUUGCUUUGCAAAGUUGCCUAGGAGUUUGCUUAGAAUGGUGGUGGUACGAGUUCAUGACAAUUCUAGCCGGUUACCUUCACAAACCUCACAUUGCCCUAGCCACAUCAGCCAUAGUGAUACAAACCACUUCUCUCAUGUACACAUUGCCAACGACACUAAGUGCAUCAGUGUCUACACGAGUAGGCAACGAGCUAGGGGCAGGCCAACCCAAAAAGGCACGUUUGGCGGCGGUGGUGGCGGUGGGGAUGGCACUAGUGAGCUCAUUGUUGGGCUUGUUAUUGACCACUCUGGGGAGAGAAGCAUGGGGGAGAAUUUUCACAGAUGAUAAUGAGGUUUUGGAGCUAACAAUGGGUGUGCUACCAAUUGUUGGACUAUGUGAGAUUGCAAAUUGUCCACAAACUACAAGUUGUGGGAUUUUGAGAGGAAGUGCUAGGCCAGGCAUUGGGGCAUGGAUUAACUUUUACUCAUUUUACAUGGUAGGUGCGCCUAUUGCAAUAGUCUUGACGUUUGUUUGGAGAUUAGGGUUCAAAGGGCUUUGUUAUGGGCUUCUAGCAGCUCAAGUUACUUGUGUGGUGUCUAUAUUAACAGUGGUCCAUAAGACAGAUUGGGAGAAAGAAUGGCUUAAGACGAAAGAGUUUGUAGGAAAGAAUAAUGAUGGAAUGGCUGCAUUUGCACAUGCAGAUGAAACAGUCAAAUGUGAAGAGGGUGUUGCAAAUUAGGAGAUUUGAAAUGUCCAAAGGAUUUCGUGGGAUGUUGGUGUUUCUAAAGAAGUAGAAUAUUUUGCAUGCUGAUUGAUCGAUAGAAGAACAAUCGCACAAAUAGUUCCCAUUAUUCCUUGUAAUUUACGAUUUGUAAUGUUUUUGCGUUUGCUGUCCAGCUAUUUCUAGGUGCUACUUGUUUUUAGUUUUACAUGUAUUCUUCUUGUACUAGUCAUACAAAUUUAUAUUAUCUUAUAACUUUGAUCUUUACAUGUGUAUCUGAUUUUAGGGUGGAAAUUAGGCUUACUAGCUACCAUUACAAAAUACUUAGGUUUACAAUCAUAGCUCAACUCUAACUUGGUCUAACUUGGCGAUUCGAUUGUUUCUGGUAUGUCCAUAUUCUUUAGUUUAAAAUUUCUGAAUUUUUUUUUAUUAUCUUUAUUAUUACAUCACAGGAAUUAAAUUCUAAAAUAAUUAUAACCUUAACUCAUUACCUUACCCUCCUCCACGCUUGAGCUAGCCUCAAAGAUGUUAUUUAGAAAAACUACUCCUUUUAUAGCACAUAAAUUUUUCAUAAGGCUUUUUUUUUCUUUUUUUUUUUUUUGUCAUCAAAAUGAUAAAAAUUUAUUAAAGCCGAGACUUAUAUCUACUGCAAGAAUAUUAAAUAAAAAACUCGGACCAAUCUCAUUCCAAAGGAACCCGGCACCAUAUUCGGUAGCAAACGAAACCAUCUCGUGAGCAGCGAAGUUACAUUCCCGGGGAUGAACCCGAACUUAACAAAAUCAAAAUGCAUAGCUAAAGAAACAACAUCAAGCAGCGCCCUUUCUAAUAUUGCAUCCCUUUCCAUCUCUCUAUUAAUCAUACGAAUCAAAGAUUGGGAGUCAGACUCGACCUUCACCUUUGUACAGCCGCUGUUUCUGUAAAAUAUCAAUGCUGCCCUCACGGCAGCAGCCUCAGCAGCAAUGGCAGAACAAAAAUAAAUUUCCCCACACCUCCAGUUCGCUUUAAAAUCCCAGCAAAGUCUCUUAACAGCCACCCAAAACCACCCAACCUCGUCUUUGAUUUCCAAGCACCAUCGCAAUUAAUUUUCAAGGUUCCAAAUUCCGGCUUCUUCCAACCUCCCUGCACGCCCUUGCCGACGGAAUACCUCCAGGAUGACACGGUCCCUGGUUAUCAAUCUUAACCAUCACAUCUCUAAACUCACUCACCUGCCCCCUUCACAACUCCAAAGCCUCCGUUAGAUUCUUCAUAAGUUGUUAGAUAAUUACAGAUCACUAACUAAUCACUCAUAUUUUACUUUAUGCACUCCCUGCUUUUUAUGUAGUCUCUAAAUUAAGUAACUAAAUAAAAUCAGGAGACAUAAUAAUAAAACAGUGCAGAUAAAAGAGGAAUGCAGACAUCAGUCCUUAGAUAACUUAGUUUUUUUUUUUUUUUUUUAACAAACGAUAUUAUCUACACAGUUAAUAAUAAAACGCUAUCUACAAAGAAGAAAAUAGGAGCCCAACCAUCCUAAUAUAAACCAUUUCACCGCUGCACAAAUCUUGAGUUUUAUUAGUUUUGGGCUUUUAAUCCUCAAGUCCAAAUUGGUGAAGAAGAUGGGCCUAUGGUAGAGACCUUAUUUUCCUACGUAACGUGUUUUUUUACAUUAAGAAAGGUGACAACGGUAGGAUUUCCUUGAAAAAACUCCCCCCUAUGAGAGAAAUUAUCUUCCCUCGUUGACCCCUGUUUUUAGACUCGGCAUUAUUCUCUCUUUGGUCUUUUCUCUCUGUUUUCCUCCUUGCUUCCUAUCUUAUAACUAUCUUCAUCCUUUGAUUGUGGUCACUCUUAUCGCUGAUGAGUCUUUAUAUUUAAGGAAAACUAACAAAAAUGGUUUGAAAAUUUUGAGUUGUAAUGAUAAGAACAAAAUAAAGGGUAAAAUGAAUAGUACUAAAAUUGAAUUUUUAGUGUAAAAAUGUGAUUUUUGUUAAAGUGAAUAGUAUCGGAAACUUUUCGUUAAAAUUCACUUAUAUUUAUGGUUGUGGUUGUGAUCGUCAGCUCACUUUGUCAGAGUAAAGUCUUUGUUGGGUUCAUGGCUUACAACUCAAGCUCAGAUUUUUAAGCAACAGUUGUUCAGAGUCAAGGGUGGUGGUUUUUUUUCUUGUGGUUUUUGUCCAUGGCAAAGAACUAUGAGAAGGAAGUUUAAUGUUUGUGGAGUGUCUCGUAGUAGUGUUUCUUUAACAAUAGUUGCAAGAUCAUUAAACUGUGUUGCAGUCUUUUUCUUGCGGUGUCUUUAGUAGGCUAAGGAUCAAUUGUAUUGUAUUUUGGAUAAGAUUGUAAUUGUGAAGUUGUGAUGUUUUUUUUUUUUCACCAAUGUAACCUCUUGGUUAAAUUUGACGUGCAUGACCUAUUGGCACUCUUAAUAAAGUUUCAUUUGAAAUCUCAAAGGGGAAAAACAAAUAGUGGCAUACCACGUCAACCAAAUGAAGGGCUGGUUUGGUAGGGCUGGUUUGGUAUUGCUGUGUUUUGAAAAAAAACUGUUGUAAGAAUAAGCAGAUGUGCUGUGAGAAUAAGCGGCUGUGAAAUAAAUCAGCAGUGUUUGGUAAACUUUUUUGUAAAAGUGCUUUUGGAAAAAAAAACAGUUUGAUAGUGGGUCUUUUCAUUAAAGGAGCCAUGUAGCUCCGUAUGCUUUGAAAAGAAACCAGUUUUCCAAAGCUGCAAAUAGUAGCUUCAGCUUUUUUCUUUGAUUUCAGCUUAUUCUCAUAGCAGCUUCCAAAAUAAGCCCUUUUUUUUCAGUUUACCAAACACCUAAAACCCUCACAGCAUUUUUUCAUGGAUGCUUUUUUUUUAAGCACCUCACUUCCAAACCACCCCGAAGUCAUGCCAUGGUUAGAAUGAGAAUAAGAAUACUUAUUUCUGAUUCUUGAGUUUUUUGUGUUUACUAAAGUAAUCAUAUGUUAAUAUUUGGGAAAAUUAUGAACCAAAUCAAGCAGACGGGGUUAGUGAUCCGAUUUCCUUUUCUAUUACUCCCCUUUUUUAAUUUCCUGAUUCCUUCUCUCAUUUUAAUUAAAUAAACAGGUCAUCAUUGUUUCUUUCUUUUUUUGUUUUUGGAUGAAUAUUUUCCCAUUUAGCUACCUUUAAAGUCUCAACCGAAUAAAUGUCGCUUUUUCCUUUUUCCCUUUUUUCUGUUUAAGGGCGGGCAAACUGAUGAAGACGAUGGUGACUGGUUUGCAGAGCUUGCACAAACACUGGGUCUGGGGCUGCUUUUAGGGUUUUUUCUUUUGGGGGGGGUCAAUAAAAUGAUUAAAAUGAAGAAGCUGCUUUAGAGUUUUGCUUUCUAUUAUGCAGGCCAUCAUAAUGGUUCAUUGAAAACCACCAUUGAAAGCCACAUAAAGGUAAACUUGACACUUGACAGUGGAGGUAGCUGGGAAUGUAAUCAAAUGUUGUCCUUCCUGAAGGUGUAGGAAUAAUUAAGAAAAGAAAGAUGCAAACCCUAGCAUGAGUCCAGAGUAUAUAAAUGGAAAUUUUUUACCUAUAUUAACUUCAUCGAGUUUCAACAACAACAACAACAACAAAGCCUUUUCCCACUAAGUCGGGUCGGCUAUAUGAAUCCUAGAACGCCAUUGCGCUCGGUUUUGUGUCAUGUCCUCCGUUAGAUCCAAGUACUCUAAGUCUUUUCUUAGGGUCUCUUCCAAAGUUUUCCUAGGUCUUCCUCUACCCCUUCGGCCCUGAACCUCUGUCCCGUGGUCACAUCUUCGAACCGGAGUGUCAGUAGGUCUUCUUUGCACAUGUCCAAACCACCGUAACCGAUUUUCUCUCCUCUUUCCUUCAAUUUUGGCUACUCCUACUUUAUCUCGGAUGUCCUCAUUCCUAAUCUUAUCCUUUCUCGUGUGCCCACACAUCCAACGAAGCAUCCUCAUCUCCACUACACCUACGUGUUGAUGCUUUACCGCCCAACAUUCUAUGCCAUAAAGCAUUGCCGGCCUUAUUGCCGUCCUAUAAAAUUUUCCCUUGAGCUUCAGUGGCCUACAACGGUCACACAACACGCCGGAUGCACUCUUCCACUUCAUCCAUCCAUCUUGUAUUCUAUGGGUGAGAUCUCCAUCAAAUUCUCCGUUCUUUUGCAAGAUAGAUCCUAGGUAGCGAAAACAGUCGCUCUUUGGUAUUUCCUGAUCUCCGAUCCUCACCCCUAACUCAUUUUGGCCUCCGUUUGCACUGAACUUGCACUCCAUAUAUUCUGUCUUUGAUCGGCUUAGGCGAUGACCUUUAGAUUCCAACACUUCUCUCCAAAGGUUAAGCUUCGCGUUUACCCCUUCCUGCGUUUCAUCUAUCAACACUAUAUCGUUUGUGAAAAGCAUACACCAAAGAAUAUCAUCUUAAAUAUUAAGUUUGUGAUCUUCGCUAGAUUGCUCCGGUCAUUAGUGUGGAUAAGUAUGUAAAUGGAUAGAGACAGGAAGCAAACACAAGAUGUACGUGGUUCACCCAGAUUGGCUACGUCCACGGAGUAAAGGAGUUCUCAUUAAUUGUGAAGGGUUUACACAGUAUAUAGGUUCAAGCUCUCCUUUAGUGAAUACAAGUGAAUGAUUUAGUACAAAUGACAUUAGGAAAUAUUGUGGAAGAAUGAUCUCGUAAUCACGAAACUUUUAAGUACCGAAGUGUGGUAUCGUCUUCACUUGCCUUAUCUGUCUUAUAGGUAGAUGUGGCAUCUUCUUUGGAAGUACUCUUCCUACCUCCAGGGGUGGUAUCUUUAACUGGUGGAGAUGCACAAGGUAAUGUAUCAAUUUCACUUGACGCUUACUUGUAGUUUCAGGCUUGGUCAAGCGCGAUACAAACCAUGUAGUAGGAGUCCCCCAAGUCGCCGAGCUAGGGGAUCUGCUGAAAGAGGUGACAGACAAGGUAAGCAAUUAGAGCUCCAAGCAAUCAGUCCCAGAUCAGAAGUUUUGAUUUCGAGUUCCGGCUGAUUGUUAUCCUUCUCCUUAUCUUGCAGGUAGCAUGAAGGAUAAAGAGAAGAAAAGGAGAAAAGGUGAUAUGAGAUACUUUUGCUUUUGAAGAAGUAACUUUCCACAGACUUAUUCUUGAACUGGGCUGGAGGGUUUUCUUGUUUCCACCAGAGUAUAAGGCCGACUGAAGAAUUUGAGGGUCAAAACAAGUCCAUCAAAUCUAGAGUACAUUCGACCCUGCUGAUAUGGGAUACUUUUGCUGUUGACAAAGUAGUGGAUGUAUCGGCACGUGUUCUGUUGCGCUUGUCUCCACAUGCUUCCUUGUAUCCUUCUCACUUGCCCUAUUUGUUCCUCAGGCAGAUGUGGUAUCUUCUCGGGAAGCAUAAGAUGUUGAAGAUGAGUACUCGAGAGCAAUGGGGUUCCAGGCAGUCAGUUCCGGACUGAAAGCUUGAUUCCAAGUGCUGACUGAUUGCUCUCUUUCUCCUUGUCUUGCAGGUAAGAACAAGGCCAAAGGAAAAGACAGGAAAAAAGCAUGAUAUGGGAUACUCUUGCUUUUAACCUUGAUGAUAUGAGAUAUUCUUGCUCUAGUGUAGCUUGUUUGCAGAGGUAUUCUCGGGGGGAAAGAAAGCUGAGUAUUUCGAGAGGCUUCGUUGGGAGUGCCCUCUCAGAUAUGAGGAAGGGUUGAGCAUUUUUGCAGGUCUGCCUGUCCGUUGAGGAUGGAGGUCGACAUAUAUAGGAGUCUCCCUAACAAGGAGUAAUACUAUUCUUUUACCCUGCUUGGUCAUAGCACGGUAGUGGGAGCUGCCAGCUUCACGUGUUUUAACUCUGUGAGAGCACUUUGAAAAAGUGGUCUGUGGUAUCUGGAAAGCUGAUGUUACGUGUGAAGAUUACAGACAAGCUUUAUCCAAGGAGAUCUGGCUCUCGAAGUUGAGAAAGCGGUGUGAGGAUUACAGACAAGCUUUAUCUAAGGGGCUCUCGAAGUUGAGAAAGCGGUGCCUCUUCGGUUUUCGAACAAGCAAUCCUGUCGGGGAUCUGUCUCUCGAGAUUCGAAGAACGGUGCCUCUUCGAUUUUUGAGAAAGCAAUCCUACUAGGAGUCUGGCUCUCGAGAUUCGGAGAGCGGUGUCUCGUCGCUUUUUUAGAAAGUAAUCGUGUUGGGAGUCUGGCUCUCGAGAUUCGAAGGACGGUGCCUCUUCGAUCUUGAAGCAAGCAAUCUUGUUGGGAGUGUUUUCUCGAAUGUGAGUAAAGGUUAGGCCUGUUUGCUAGUCUACCUUGCCACGGAGCACAGAGGUUGACCCACAGGGACUUUCCAAUUAUCCAGCAAUGGUCUUGUUCCUUUACCCUUGUGGGUAAUAAUAUGGUAGCUAGACUAGACUUUCAAAAUUUAUGUGUCUAAACUUUGUUAGUGUUGUUUCUUUGCUAUUCUUUUACCCUUCUUGGUCAUAGCGAUGUAAUGGGAGCUGCAAGCUUCACGUGUCUAAACUUUGUCAGAGAUUUUUGGCAAAGUUAUCUGUGGUACCCGUGAGCUGAUGUUGCGUGUGGAAAGUGAAUGAUUGAACAGUAACAUUCACGUGCUUUCUACUUCACUAGAAAUCUUCGACAGAAUGCCCGUAAUUUCCGCAAAGUUGAGUGUGCAUGUGACAGGUGCUGACAAGGCUGAAAAAGCAGGUGCCUCUUCGAUUUCUGAGAUUGGCCCUCGUGGUCUCUGAGCAGCCCAGCUUUUGAGAAAGCAAGCGCCUUUUCGAUUUCUGCGAUCGACCUUCGUGGUCUUUGAGGAGCCCAGCUUUUGAGAAAGCAAACGCCUAUUCGAUUCCUGAGAUCGGCCCUCAUGGUCUCUGAGUAGCCCAGCUUUUGAGAAAGCAAACGCCUUUUCGAUUUCUGAGCAGGCGCCUCUUCGAUUUCUGAGAUUGGCCCUCGUGGUCUCUGAGCAGCCCAGCUUUUGAGAAAGCAAGCGCCUUUUCGAUUUCUGCGAUCGACCUUCGUGGUCUUUGAGUAGCCCAGCUUUUGAGAAAGCAAACGCCUAUUCGAUUCCUGAGAUCGGCCCUCAUGGUCUCUGAGUAGCCCAGCUUUUGAGAAAGCAAACGCCUUUUCGAUUUCUGAGCAGGCGCCUCUUCGAUUUCUGAAGCUCCAUCGAGUGUGAAUUUUUAUAGAGGCUGGUAUUAAGUUCCAAAGCACACUUGAAUCUCCACCAGUAGAAGCUCCCUUCUUGCAUUUCUAAGAUCUUGAUUUGUCCGACUUCUUUUCUCUUCAACACCUUUGAAAAUGUCUGGCCCCUCCGACCGUCGUUUUGACUUGAACCUUGUUGAAGAGGCAGCCACGCCUUCUCCAGACAACAUAUGGCGCCCAUCCUUCGUAUCCCUUACUGGUCUUCUUACCGUUGGGGAUUCCGUGAUGAAGAAUGAUAUGACCGCUGCGGUGGUGGCCAGGAACCUUCUCACUCCCAAAGAUAACAGACUACUUUCCAAACGGUCUGAUGAGUUGGCUGUUAAGGAUUCUCUGGCUCUCAGUGUUCAGUGUGCAGGUUCUGUGUCUAAUAUGGCCCAACGCCUAUUUGCUCGAACCCGCCAAGUUGAAUCAUUGGCGGCUGAAGUGAUGAGUCUCAAACAGGAGAUUAGAGGGCUCAAGCAUGAGAAUAAACAGUUGCACCGGCUCGCUCAUGACUAUGCUACAAACAUGAAAAGGAAGCUUGACCAGAUGAAGGAAUCUGAUGGUCAGAUUUUACAUGAUCAUCAGAGGUUUGUGGGUUUGUUCCAAAGGCAUUUAUUGCCUUCGUCUUCUGGGGCUGUACCGCGUAAUGAAGCUCCAAAUGAUCAACCUCUGAUGCCUCCUCUUUCUAGGGUGCUGUCCAAUACUGAGGCUCCGAAUGAUCCCCCUCCGGUGCCUGCUCUUUCUGGGGCUCUGCCGACUGCUGAGACUUCUCCUAAGCAACCUUUGUGAAGGCUCUUUCUUGUUUGUUUAUUUUGACUCGUGUAUAUGUACAUAUUUGUAACUUCUUAGAGAUAUCAAUAAAUAAGCUUUGUUUCAUUUCAACGUAUUGUGUUAAAUACACCAAAGCCUUCUUCACUAAGUUCUUUGAAUUUUUCUUUUGUUAAAGCUUGUAUGUUGAAGCUUUAUGAGUGGAGCAUGUAGGUUGAGGUAGUGUUCCCUUAAUUUCCCGGGUGGGGAAAACUUCUCGAUUGGAGACUUGAAAAAUCCAAGUCACUGAGUCAGGUCGGCUAUAUGAAUCUUAAAACACCAUUGUGCUCGAUCCUGUGUCAUGUCCUCCGUUAGAUCCAAGUACUCUAAGUCUUUUCUUAGAGUCUCUUCCAAAGUUUUCCUAGGUCUUCCUCUACCCCUUCGGCCCUGAACCUCUGUCUCGUAGUCGCAUCUUCUAACCGGAGCGUCAGUAGGCCUUCUUUGCACAUGUCCAAACCACCGUAACCGAUUUUCUCUCAGUUUUCCUUCAAUUUCGGCUACUCCUACUUUACCUCGGAUAUCCUCAUUCCUAAUCUUAUCCUUUCUCGUGUGCCCACACAUCCAACGAAGCAUCUUCAUCUCCGCUACACCCAUUUUGUGUACGUGUUGGUGCUUCACCGCCCAAUAUUUUGUGCCAUACAGCAUCGCCGACCUUAUUGCCGUCCUAUAAAAAUUUUCCUUAAGCUUCAGUGGCAUACGACGAUCACACAACACGCCGGAUGCACUCUUCCACUUCAUCCAUCCAGCUUGUAUUCUAUGGUUGAGAUCUCCAUCUAAUUCUUCGUUCUUUUGUAAGAUAGAUCCUAGGUAGCGAAAACGGUCGCUCUUUGGUAUUUCCUGAUCUCCGAUCCUCACCCCUAACUCAUUUUGGCCUCCAUUUGCACUGAACUUGCACUCCAUAUAUUCUGUCUUUGAUCGGCUUAGGCGAAGACCUUUAGAUUCCAACACUUCUCUCCAAAGGUUAAGUUUCGCAUUUACACCUUCCUGAGUUUCAUCUAUCAACACUAUAUCGUCUGCGAAAAGCAUACACCAAGGAAUAUCAUCUUGAAUAUGUCCUGUUAACUCAUCCAUUACCAAUGCAAAAAGGUAAGGAUUUAAGGAUGAGCCUUGAUGUAAUCCUACAGUUAUGGGGAAGCUUUCGGUUUGUCCUUCAUGAGUUCUUACGGCAGUCUUUGCUCCUUCAUACAUAUCCUUUAUAGCUUGGAUAUAUGCUACUCGUACUCCUUUCUUCUCUAAAAUCCUCCAAAGAAUGUCUCUUGGGACCCUAUCAUACGCUUUUUCCAAAUCUAUAAAGACCAUGUGUAAAUCCUUUUUCCCAUCUCUAUAUCUUUCCAUCAAUCUUCGUAAGAGAUAGAUUGCCUCCAUGGUUGAGCGCCCUGGCAUGAACCCGAAUUGGUUGUCCGAAACCCGUGUCUCUUGCCUCAAUCUAUGCUCAAUGACUCUCUCCCAGAGCUUCAUUGUAUGACUCAUUAGCUUAAUACCCCUAUAGUUCAUGCAAUUUUGUACGUCGCCCUUAUUCUUGUAAAUAGGCACCAAGGUGCUCUUUCGCCACUCGUUUGGCAUCUUCUUCGUUUUCAAAAUCCUAUUGAAAAGGUCAGUGAGCCAUGCUAUACCUGUCUCUCCCAAGGCUUUCCACACUUCAAUCGGUAUAUCGUCUGGGCCCACUGCUUUUCUAUGCUUCAUCUUUCUUCAAAGCUACAACCACUUCUUCCUUCCUGAUUCGACGAUAAAAUGAGUAGUUUCUACACUCUUCUGAGUUACUCAACUCCCCUAAAGGAGUACUCCUUUCAUGUCCUUCAUUGAAAAGAUUAUGAAAAUAACCUCUCCAUCUGUCUUUGACCGCGUUCUCUGUAGCAAGAACAUUUCCAUCCUCAUCCUUGAUGCACCUCACUUGGUUUAGGGCCCUUGUCUUCUUUUCCCUUGCUCUAGCUAGUUUAUAGAUAUCCAACUCUCCUUCUUUGGUAUCUAGUCGCUUAUACAUAUCGUCAUAAGCCGCUAACUUAGCUUCUCUCACAGCUUUCUUCGCCUCUUGCUUCGCUCUUCUAUACCUUUCACCAUUUUCAUCGGUCAUAUCCUUGUAUAAGGCUUUAAAACAUUCCUUCUUAGCCUUCACCUUUGUUUGUACCUCCUCAUUCCACCACCAAGAUUCCUUUGGUGUGGAACAAAGCCCUUGAACUCUCCUAAUACCUCUUUUGCUACUUUUCGGAUACAGCUAGCCAUGGAAUCCCACAUUUGGCUAGCUUCCCCCUCUCUAUCCCACACACACUGGGUGAUUACUUGCUCUUUGAAAAUGACUUGUUUUUCUCCUUUUAGAUUCCACCAUCUAGUCUUUGGGCACUUCCAAGUCUUGUUCUUUUUUCUCACUCUUUUGAUAUGUACAUCCAUUGAUCGGAUCAUAUUUAUAUAUAUUUUUACUUCGAAUUCACUCGUCUUUUCUUAGUUAGUUCCUUAUAUUUUUGAGUUAUUUACGUUAUUUUUGUGUUUAUAGGAUUUGUUAUGCAAAGAAAAUAAAAAUAGAACAAGUGAAAUUUUAUGUAAUAAAUUCGUCAAAAGCAAAUUUAAAUUACAAUAUUGCUAAUCCAUUGUGACGAUAAAUGAUAAACCAAUAUUUAAACUAUAUAUUUCAUCCUUUUAUAUUUCUUUUCUUGUCUAAUUUAGUUGGAAGUUUUAAGUAUUUAUGAUACUUUUGAUUUAUUGUGUUUCUAGGAGAAGAAAGAAAGCUAAGAGAGAUCAGCAAAAAGAGAACAAAAAGAAGGAAAAAUAAUAAUGAGGACAGCAGGAUAAUUGGGAGAGGGAAAGAAGGUAGGCGUGAAAGGAGGGAGAAAACGGAAAGAAUAAAAAAUAAAAAGAAGAAGCUGCUUUGCAGCUGGAAAAAGGGAGAAUAAAAUGAAAAAAAUGACAAAGAAGUGGGAGACAUGGAAUGAUGGAGAAGAAUAACAAAAGGGAAAUAUAGGAGAGUGUUGGACGGCAAAAACAAAAGAAAAAGAAUAAAGAAUGGAAUGAUGGAGGAAUAAAAAAAGAAAAGAAGGAAUAAAAAAAUUAAAAGAAGAAUAAGAGGAGGACACGGGCAGACUGGUGGGAGAGAGGAAAUAGAAUAAGAAAAUAAAGAUGGAGGAGGCGCAAAGGGCACUUAGAAGAGGAAUAAAAGUGAGGAGACACAGCAGAAAGCGCGGGCUGGGAGCAGGAGAAGAGAGCUGCCUUUGGGCAGCUCGCAGAGACGCAGGGUGAGGGGAGGUCACAAGCUGCCUUUGGCAACGUGACUGGCAGAACGCGGAGACUUGCGGGGAGACUUGCGAGGAGCUGCCUUGCGCGAGAGGACAGAGAGAGAAGGCGGGAGCAGUGAGCCUCAGCAGGGGUUCAAAGAGCACGGACAGAAACAGAAGCAGCAAGCUUCUCCUCUUUCGGUUAAAACGUUCCAACUUAUAUUUUACUUUUGGUUAAAUGUUUUAAUAAUGUGUAAUUAAAUUUUAUUUUGGCUAGAGGUUAAUUCAAAGCCAUGAAUAUAUUUGUAAUAUGAAUUGAUUACCUUCAGUUGUGAUUUAUAAGUUGUGAAUUCAAUUUACUUAUCCGUUCGUAUAAAAACUGAUUUGUGUAUGUUGGUUGAGAGUGCACGCUUAAUUUACAUGCAUGAAUUUGAUGCUAGAAUAUAAGUGAAUUUCACCUAAUCGUUAUGAACUUAUUUUCACAAGUAGUAAAGGUUGCUAGUCACAAUCACGUUAAGUAAAUUCUUGGCAAGAGUAUCAUGCUUUUCAUAGUUACGAAUGCCUCGUCAAUGCUUAUAGUUUUCACAAAGUUUAAUGAUCUUUGAUUGUAUCUCUAUUGUGCUUUUCACGUAGGGGACUUUUGAAGAAUGUUUUGAAUUGUUGUAUGCGUUUUCCCGUCCAAUUCAAUAACUUAAGGAAAACUUGAAGAUUAAAAAAGUGCUGUUCACGGUUAAUCUGGAGUAUUGAAAUUUACAAUUUAUUGAAAGAACAACUGAAAAUCAAUUUAGGUUGCAUAUGUGUCAUGUGUGGAGAAGAACCCUCUAGCUAGUCCGUCAUUUAUCAUUUUACCUUAAUUUUAUGUUUUUGUCAAUUCUGUAAUUUAAUUAAGUUUAUUUUACUUUUCAUCAAAACCAAACACCCAUCCAUUAUUAAAUUAUAUUAUUUAGUUAGUUUUCUUUGUUGUUAGUCUUUUAAUUCAAUUUCCGUCCAUUUCAGUUCCUAGUGUCUAAUUUGAGUGUUUCCAUUAUUUUGAGUCAUUAUAAGUGUGUUUCAAGUUAUUAGAGUUUUUAGCCUAGUUUUGUGUCCUUGAGUCUUAUUUAAUAUUUUUAAAUUAAUUUAGAAUAGAUUAGCAAUCCCUCCUAAUUCCCGGCCUAGAACGAUACCCUACUUACAUCUAUACUACAAUUGUCAAAAAGAGGGUUUAAUUUGUGUGUCAAGAAAUUCUCACAUCA